rnacentral:lncRNA from 1 species
UCCAGAGGUCGGAGUGCGUCUUGUUGGGUACUUGUUUGCAUUUUGUGGCAAGAUAAAUACCUCCAUGCUUUCUUCAGGAACUAAAUAUGCAGCUUACCUCGUGUUCACUUUGAGAUCAGGAAUUAAUGGAUAUGGGCACCAGCUUGCUCAGGCUUUGAUAGAAAUUAGUGGACAAAACGCUGAUGAACAAACUAACUAUUUACAAAUUGGACAAGAAGCUGAUGGUAAAACUGUCUAUUGUCCAGAUGAAGAACAGAGGCAAAGGUGCCAGACUGUUCCUAGACCCAAAACUUUCUUGCAUUUAAUCUCUCAUGUAUUUUGAGGGCUAGACAUCAUAGAGUCCUCAGAGUUGCACAGAUAUCCCAAGUUCAGGGAUGAUGGAUGGAUGGAAGUUGAGAUGGGAGAGUUCUUCAUCCAGGGAAAACAAGAUCAGGAUGUGAAAAUUAUAUCUGUGCCGUGGAAUCCAGGACUGUGGUGUAAUUGUUGGCAUGGUGGUCAUCUUAUUAUUCAAGGUAUUGAUAUCAGACCAAGAGCUUGGUGAAUAUUUGAUUUACUAUUUUCAUCAGAAACAAGUACAUGGGUGUGGGAGUCCAACUAUGUACACUUCCAAGUCAGCUUAUUGACUUUUCUUUGCUUAUUACCUCUGUUUAGAUUCUUUAUUUUGUGUCCCAGACCUCACACAUUAUUCUCCAAACUCACGUGAUAACAAUUUUUUGAGCUUAUGAUGAAUUGGAGAAUUAGGAUUAUCUUUUCUAUUCUCUUUUAGUACGUUUCCAGUGAAUGAAUGAUUUCCAUUGUCAGUCAGUUGUUUGAAACUACUAGUCAUAACGACCUUUAGAAAGUUUUUGCUUGAACUUGUGGCUUGAUGCCUUUUCUAAUGCCUAUAAUGAUCUCUCUGUUGUCAAAAACAUGUUUUUAAUUUUUAAUUUUGAGUUUAUUUUCAAUUUUUUUUGAAGGUCUAUUUUAAAAUGGUUGAAAAUGCGUUCGAUUUGUCAUUCUUGGAAAAUGUUUAUGAAUUUUAUAAAUUAUUUUAUGAUAGUUUACGUGAUGUGAACCCGCGUAGGUAAACGCUACGAAACCCACGAACAAGAUUUAAAUCUUCCCAAGAAAGUCAAAGCAAGGUUUUGGAUUGAAUUCAAUAGAUUUGGAACCAAGCAAUCUGAAUUGUUGACGAUGUGAGGACCUCUUGAUUACACAAAAAUACGGAAUCUCACCUGGUUGAUUUGAAUGCCACAAGAUUAAAUCUUGAUAGUGCUUGAAUUGUUCAAUUCUAGAACAAGAGUUGAAAGCAAUAUAGCCUCUCAAAUUCGAAUAACAUCAAAAGGUUCUUACAAUUAAAAAUAAAAUAGUAUUUAUACCAGGUGUAAAAAACUAGGUAAAAAUGUGCCUUAUAUUUCAAAUAUGGUAAGAAAUCUACUAAGUAUCAAAUUCUAUCAAAAAUAGGAAUUUUGCGAAAAAAAACGCUUCAAAUUUUAACUAUGCGGUCGUAUGGUGUAAAAUCAUGCGGUCGCAUGGAACGUUCGAAAAUCCCCAUAAUUCUCUGCAUCAAUACAUGCGACCGCAGGAUGGUUUUAACCAUGCGGUUGAAUGGUUCUUCUCUCCAGCUCCAUCUUCGGCUGCUUGUAUUGUGUUGAUCCAAUUGGUUUCAGCCUUCGAUCCGAACACGAAAAUUGUCUCAUUUUGAGCCUCGAACAUGAUUUCAUCGAUGGUUGUCUUGACGAGUAAUCUCAUUGCCUCUUUCACUCCCUUUGUUCUCGCUCGUGUCAUAGGUCCAUCUUCGACUUUCAACGGAUCUUUCCCCGGGCUUGACGUUGGAUUUGAUUUGGUUGUUUGCGGCUCCUGGAUCACAUCAUCCCCUCCCUCUUCGAAACGAUUCGUCUUCGAAUCUGAACCUGCAUCAAAGAGAGAAAGAUUAAAUACAUUAAAAGUUAUCGAAACAUUAUACUUACCUGGAAGAUCCAAUUUGUAUGCGUUAUCAUUGAUCUUCUCAACUACCUGGAACGGUCCAUCUCCCCGUGGUAACAAUUUCGAUUUUCUUUGCUCUGGGAACCCUCUUUUCUGAAGUGCACCCAAACCCAAUCUCCUGGUUCGAAUGUGACAAUUUUCCUGCCCUUAUUUGCUUGGUCCGCAUAGUACUUUCUUUUCUUCUCAAUUUGCUCCCGCACCUUUUCAUGGAGUGACUUCACCAAUUCGGCCUUCCUUUUUCCAUCCAAGCUACCUCGUUCAUUAACAGGCAAAUGUAUUAAAUCCAUAGGUGUUAUAGGAUUAAAACCGUAAACAAUUUCAAAAGGAGAAAACGACAUAGUGGAGUGUGUGGCUCUAUUAUAUGCAAAUUCGAUAAAAGGUAAGCACUCUUCCAAAUUCUUCAAAUUCUUAUUAACUACAGUGCGCAAAAGUUAUGUCAUAGUCCUAUUCACUACUUCGGUUUGGCCAUCUAUUUGUGGAUGACAAGUUGUAGAAAAUAGUAGUUUCAUGCCUAACUUACUCUACAAGACUCUCCAAAAGUGAUUAAGGAACUUAACAUCCCUAUCUGACACUAUGGUUUUAGGUGCUCCAUGCAAGCGCACAAUUUCUUUAUAGAACAAAUCUGCAAUGUUAGUAGUUCAUCAGUUUUGUGACAGGGAAUGAAAUGUGCCAUUUUACUAAACCUAUCCACCACUACAAAAAUUGAAUCUCGCCCCUUUUUAUUCCUAGGCAAACCUAACACAAAGUCCAUUGAAAUAUUUACCCAAAGUCCACUAGGUACUGGUAAAGGUAUAUACAGUCCAUGAGGUAAGACCCUAGAUUUAGCCUGUUUACAUUUUAUGCAUCGACUACAAACCCUUUCUACAUCAACUUUCAUUUUAGGCCAAUAGAAAUGUUCAAUCAAUAUCUCUAAAGUCUUUGCUACCCAAAGUGACCCAUAAGUCCCCCACUAUGUGCUUCCCUAACCAAUAGUUCACACAUAGAGCAAUUAGGAACGCAUAAUUUACUCUCCUAAAACAAGUAUCCCUCAUGCUUAAAGAACUUAUCUAUAGCCCCCUUGUGACAUGAAUUGUAAAUGUCGAAAAAAUAAGAAUCAGUAACAUAUAUGUCCUUAAUAUACUCUAAACCAAGCAAUUUUGCACUUAAAGUAGUUAGAAGCACAUACCUGCGUGACAAUGCAUCUGCUACUACAUUUUCCUUACCUUGUUUGUAAUAGAUGACAUAUGGAAAAGUUUCGAUGAAUUCUAUCUAGCGUGUAUGUCGUUUGUUCAACUUACCUUGACCCCGCAAAUAUUUUAGUGACUCAUGAUCUGAAUGAAUUACAAACUCCUUCGACCAUAGAUAAUGCUGCCAUGUUUCCAAAGCUCGAACAAGUGAAUAGAGUUCCUUGUCGUAUGUAGGAUAAUUGAGAGCCGCACCACUUAGCUUUUUACUAAAGUAUGCUAUAGGUCUCUUAUCCUGCAUUAAGACUGCUCCUAUACCUAUUCCUGAUGCAUCACACUCAAUCUCGAAAGUUUUGUCAAAAUUAGGAAGUGCUAAAACCGGUGCUUUACACAAACAAUUUUUGAUAGUGUUGAAUGCAUAUUCUUGCUCUAACCCCCAACGAUAUCCUACAUUUUUCUCGACAAUUUCAGUUAAGGGUGGGGUUAUUGUGGUAAAAUCUUUAACAAAACGCCUACAAAAACUAGCCAAUUCAUGAAAUCUUUGAACCUCGGUUAUGUUUUUAGGUGUUGGCCAAUCCUUAAUAUCUUUUAAUUUCUCUUCAUCUACCUCUACACCGUUAGCACUAACCACAAAGCCUAAUAAUAUAACCCUAUCCAUACAAAAUGUACACUGUUUAAAAUUGGCAUAAAAUUGUUCAUUUCUUGAAACCACAAGCACAGAUUUUAGAUGUUCCACGUGCUCAUCAAGACUCUUGCUAUAGAUUAAAAUUCAUCGAAAUAAACUACAACAAAUUUUCCAAUGAAAUCACGCAAAACAUGAUUCAUUAAUCGCAUAAAAGUGUUUGGUGCAUUUGUGAGUCCAAAUGGCAUGAUUAACCAUUCAUACAAUCCAUAUUUAGUUUUAAAAGCCAUUUUCCAUUCAUCACCCUUCCUCAUGCGAAUUUGAUGAUAUCCACUUUUAAGGUCAAUUUUACUAAGCAACACAUGUACCAUGUAGCUCAUCUAACAUAUCAUCUAGUCUAAGAAUUGGGUGACGAUACUUUAUCGUGAUGUUGUUGAUGGCUCUGCAAUCCACGCACAUUCUCCAAGACCCAUCUUUCUUUGGCACCAGCAACACAGGUACUGCAGAUGAACUCAUACUUUCCCUUACAUAUCCAUUUUUCAUCAAUUUCUCAACUUGCCUCUGAAGCUCCUUUGUCUUCUCUGGAUUACUCCGAUAAGCCGAUCGGUUCGGAAUGACAGCUCCAGGUAUGAAAUCAAUCUGAUGCUCAAUUCCUCUAAUGGGUGGUAACCCACUCGGCACGUCCUCCAAAAAUACAUUGUCAAAUUCCUGCAACAAAGAAAUAGCUAAACUAAGGAGGGAUGUGUUAUGCUCCUCAAAGUUGAGGAGUGACUCCUUGUAAACCAACAAUAUCAUUUGUUGUCUCUCAACUAUUGCCUUUUUUCAACUCACUCCCUCUCACAAAGAAAUUUUGUUUCGGCUUUUCUCUCAUCUCAAAAGACUAUCUUUCUUUUCUCUCAUGUGGCCCCACUCUUUUUUCCUCUCUAUUGGCCACCUCACUCUUUUCUCUCUGUUUUUCUAACUCUUUCACUCUUGCUUCUUCUUCAUUUUUCUAUACUUGUUCCGGUGUUAAUGGUGUAAGAGAGAUAGACCUCCCAUCUUUUAUAAAGCUGUACUUAUUUCUGUAUCCAUCAUGCAUUGCUUUCCUAUCGUACUGUCAUGGUCUUCCCAACAAAAUGUGCCUCGCAUGCAUAGGUACAACGUCACAUAUUACCUCAUCCUGAUAUCUACCAAUGGAAAAAUUAAUCAACACCCUUUUUGUCACCUUGACCUCCCCACAUUCAUUCAGCCAUUGUAACUUAUAAGGUCUAGGAUGUUUUAAUAGUGUUAAGCCCAACUUUUCCACCAUGUUAGUGCUAGCUACAUUAGUACAACUACCACCAUCAAUUAUUACACUACAUACCUUACCAUUAACGAAACACCGCGUGUGGAAUACGUUUUCUCGCUGUUGUUCCAAGUCGACCGCCUUGAUUUGAGCACUAAGAGCUCGCCUCGUGACCAACAACCUACUGUUAACUGCAUACUUAGUUGUAUCUUCCUCAUCAACAUCUUCCAAUCCUGGCAUGUCUGCAUAUUCACUUUCACUUUCCACUUCCCCGUUAUCUCGUAGAAUCAUUGUCUUCUUGUUUGGGCAUUGAGAAGCAAUGUGCCCUACUCCCAAGCAUCGAAAACAUUUGAUGUCCCUGUUUCAUGAUGGAUUUGAUUCCCCCUUUGGUAUAGGCUUGCUAGCACCCUCUUCCUUGCCUCUUGGUACCUCAGCUCUUCCUCUUGCAGUAGUCCCAUCUCUUUUGUUAUUUUCCCAAUUCGAUUUCCAGGAAGGAUUAGAACCCGAAGAUCCAGAUGGGUGCCUUGCUGUUCCUUUUCGCUUCAACUGCCUUUCUACCUUCAUCGCCACAUGUAACAUGUCUUCAAUUUCUACAUAGUGCUGCAAUUCCACUGCAUUUGCAAUGUCUCUGUUCAAUCCACGCAGAAAUCGAGCCAUGGUAGCUUCGCUAUCCUCCUCCACAUUUACCCUGAUCAUUAGUGUCUCCAUCUCCUUAUGGUAAUCUUCCACACUCCUGAAGCCUUGAUAUAAAUUUUGCUAUCUUUGAUGAAGCUCCCGAUAGUAGUGAGUAGGUACAAACCUCUUCCGCAUGAUAGUUUUCAAUUCCUCCCAUGUAUUAAUAGGUCGCUCCCCACUUCUCCGCCUUAAAGUCACCACCUGAUCCCACCAAGUGAUUGCAUAAUCAAUGAAUUCAAGAACUGCAAUUUACACCUUCUUCUCCCCCGAGUAAUUGUGGCAAUCGAAGAUUAACUCAAUUUUCUUUUUCCAGUCCAAGUUGGCCUCCGGAUCACUCCUACCUUUGAAGGAAUGAAUGGUCAUUUUAAUGUUACUCAAGUUUCCAUCCACCUCAUCUCCACCGAGAUUCCUACCUCUCCUGUCUAGUCUGACUCCUCUAUUUCUACCCCUUCCAAUAUCCAUAUACACUGUCGCAUCCUCAUCCAAUCCACUAUCAACCUCAAAUUCACUAAGUUCCUCCAUCCUAGGUUCCCGCCUACCCUGUCUCCGUGCAUUAAGAACACCUCUUCGAGUAUUGGCAGGCAAUGGAUUUUGCCUUUUUCCCCGUGUAUCCUGUCUAUCCAUCCGAUCUCUCAUAUCUACACAUAACUACUCAAUCCUCCUCACCGAGUCCUCUAGCAUGGAAACCCGAUCAUCAACCCUUCCUGAAUUUGAUCCUUCCCUGUCAGACAUCCUAAAUCUAAAUUAUUUUCUGCCUCACAAGUUUUCACUCGGAAUUUCACUCAAUACGUCUUUUCCAUCUAUUUCUCCCACCACUCUGCCUUUUUCCACUCGUUGCGUUCACCAAGUCUCCAAAAGAACAAUUUCGGAACUCAAUAAAAAAAAUAAUCACGUGGAAUUCAAACUGGUGUGAGUGAGACUACAAAAUCAAGGAUUUUUGUUCUGACUGGCAAUUCGAACUAAACAAUUAAAGACUGACUCAAAAACACGAAAUAAGAAAAGAAUUAUUGACUGACUUUUAAAUUAGAUGCAAAAUAAUAAAUGGAACUAAAGAGAGUCGAUAAAUUUUCCCCAAGAUCAAUAAUAAUAAUAAUAAUUUUUUUUACUGCGUACGGAUGAACAGUACCGUACAGAUGAAUAGUAAACUUUUUUUUGGACCCGGACUUUAACUACGACACCAACGAAAGAAACGGAAGUUGUUUUAGAUGCUAAAUGAGCCCAAAAAUAACUUUUGAAGUUUUAGACGAAAAGAAUUCAGAUCAAAGACUCAAGAAUUUACUGGACAGAAGAACGCGAAGAACGAAAAAAAACUAGAAACAAAGACUUAACAAGAAUUUAAAAGGGAUAUAACCUUGAAUUGGUGCCUAAGCUCUGAUACCAACUAAUGUGAACCCGCGUAGGCAAAUAUUACGGAACUCACAAAUAAGAUUGAUAUCUUCUCAAGAAAGUCAAAGCAAGAUUUUGGAUUAAAUUCAAUAGAUCUGGAACCAAGCAAUUCGAAUCGCCGAUGAUGUGCGGACCUCUUGAUUACACAAAAAUACGGAAUCUCACCCGGUUGAUUUGAACACCACAAGAUUAAAUCUUGAUAAGUUCUUGAUUUGUUCAAUUGUAGAACAAGAGUUGAAAGCAAUAUAGCCUCUCAAAUUCGAAUAAUGUCAAAAAGUCCUUACAAUUGAAAAUAAAAUAGUAUUUAUACUAGAUCUAAAAAACUAGGUAAAAACGUGCCUAAUAUUUCAAAUAUGGUAAGAAAUCUAUUAAGUAUCAAAUUCUAUCAAAAAUAGAAAAUUUGCGAAAAAAAUAAAAAAAAAGGCUUCAAAUUUUAGCAAUGCGGUCGCAUGGUGUAAAAUCAUGCGGCCGCAUGGAACAUUCGAAAUUCCUGAAUAAUUCCCUGCCUUACUCCGUGCGGCCGUAGGACUAUUUUAACCAUGCGGUCGCAUGGUUCUUCUCUCCAUCUCCAUCUUCGGCUGCUUGUAUCGUGUUGAUUCAAUUGGUUUCGACCUUUGAUCCGAACACGAAACUUGUCCCAUUUUGAGUCUCGAACAUAAUUUCAUCGAUGUUUGUCUUGAUGAGUAAUCCCAUCACCUCUUUCACUCACUUUGUCCUCGCUCGUGUCAUAGGUCCACCUUCGACUUUCAACGGAUCUUUCCCCGGGCUUGACGUUGGACCUGAUUUGGUUGUUUGCGACUCCUGGAUCACAUCAUUACUUCAUUAAUCUGAUUAUUCAAUAAAAUAGAAUAAAUUUUUAUUAAAACUAGUUUUGUGUGUUAUUUUGAAAGGGAUGUUAGCGUCUUGAAUGUCAAGGAUUGGGGAGAUAUCGUAUUACAAAAUUUCCACACGCAUAUUUACAUAGAAGAAAUAAUGUUUCAUAAAGUUGUAAGGGUCAAUGAAUUGUGAAACAUUUAAACAAAGAGGGCAAAGGAAAUGUUAUGGAAAAGGCAUUAGGGAAAAGUUCAAAUUUACAAGAGGAGAACGUGUUACAACGUAUAAUACAACAACGUACUUCAAAAUAUACUUUCGUUUGGUUUCUUUUCUACUAAACUGACAUGGAAAUGAAGCAAAAGUUCCAUAUAGUCAAAAUAGAAACAUAGAUGCAAAUUGCAAUGGUUAGAAAGAGACAAAAUCAACUUAUCAAAGAGACAAAAUCAACUUAUCCAAAACAAAAGCUCGCUACCAAAAAAUAAAACUAAAAAGCCUAAACCAAUCUUAUCUUCUUCAUUUCAUCUCAUCUAUCCCUGCCAUUUCACAGUCGCGGUGCUGUUGUUUGUGGUUCCAAAAUUGCUAUUUGUCGUUUGAUGCCAUUUCAUCCAUUUCACAGCCAAAACCAAUUGAAUUUCUCCGCUGUCUACUUCCAUUUCAAUGAUUUCAUUAUUUUCAUCCAUCCCUGCUUUCUGCUGUCAUUUCACAAUCUGCCCUCUCAAGAACAUUUCUCAAACCGAUUUCAACGGAGAGACCCCCUUCAAUUUUUGGCCUAAGGCGCAGGCCUCAUCCACCUCACCUCAGGACUGGCUCUGAGUACACAAUAUGGAAAUUAUCAAAGCAAAAUGUUAUUAUAUUUAAUACAAAUUACAAUUUUAUUGAGGGCCUUACAUCUGCAUUACUUGUCAUGCCCGCACGUUUAACAUUGGUACCAGAGUCUAAGUAGGUUGUUUUCUUGCUUAACUAUAUGCUGAAAAUGUUUUAAAUUAAAUUGAAAUGCAUGAAUUUCGAUUUUAUUUCAAAGCUUGAAUGUUGUUAAUGGCAACUUUUGAUAUACUUCAUAUAAAUUCAUGAAAUUUAUACUGUAUGUUCAUGAUAUUAUGGAGAACAUAUCUGGAAAAUUUCACUUCGUUUAGAUUUGUAUUGUAGGAGAAAAAUCGAACCCUAGUUGAGAAAACAUAAACUUCAUCGCAUGAUAAUUUCUUGCAUGUUAAGUUCCACCUACCCAUUAUAUAUGGUUGAAUAGUUUGUCCUCAAAUAUUGCAAGUGCAAUUUGGAAAAUUGUAUGUUGCUCUCUACACUUUUGAAUGUUGAAUAUUUCAAAUGUAAUUUGAAAAAUUGGAUGUUGGUCCCUCAAAUAUUACAAAAUGUACUUUGAAAAAUUGCAUGUUAGUCCCAACAUAUUUGAAUGUUGUUUAUUCUAAUAUCAAUUUGAAAAGUUGUAAGUUGGUCCAAUUUUUUUUUUUUUUUUUUUUUUUGGAAAUUGAUUAUUCCAAAUUCAAUUUAAAAGAUUGUGAAUUGGUCCCUCAAUUAUUCUUGAUUUUUUUUAAUGCAAUUAAAAUAAUUUUUAUAUAAUUAAAAAUAUUUAUAUUUACAAUUUUUGAAUUUAAUUAAAUUCUUUUUUUUUAUUUUAUAAAAAUCAAGAAUAUUUUUGUGAAGUGGUAUUUUCCUGGUGGGAGUUUUUUUUCCCUCUCAUUUUUUAAAUGAAAAAUACUCCAAAAGUAUUCGAUAUACUGUCUUUUCUACUAGGGCUAGAUAAAACUUCCGAACCGAAUCGAUCGAACCCAAACGGAACGGUUCUUCCUAAGUUAAAUACCCGAAUGGGCAUCUGAAUCGAGAACCAAUGAGUUUAGUUUGAUUCUCGGUUCUAGAUCAAGAACCGAAAAAUCGAAUAAGAAUCGAAUUUUCUUAAUUUUUUAAUUAUUUUAUUUUUUCUAAAUAAAUUUGCCAACUAGUUAGUUUAGUUCAUACCAAAAAAUAUGAUUUUUCUAUUUCUAAUUUUUAGUUCAAAGCCAACUUAAUCAAAUUGACUUAAAUUUUAUCCAAAUCUGUUACUCAACCGUAGUACUGUUUCUGUCGUUCUAGAGAAAUCGAAUUGAAGCUCAACAACGCUUCUCUUAAUUAUUGUGAGCUCGCUAUAUUCCUCUCCUUGUGAUUUUAACAAUCAAAUUUAUGAAGAACUCAGUAAAGAUAGACACAUAAAAUUGGACUACAUUAUUUUGUAAAAGUUAAGAUUGAACAUAUAAAUAGUUGAAUUAAUGUACUUUGUAAAUAUUAAAAAUUUUAAUUAUAAUACAGAACCUGAGAAUCGAAUAGAAUCGAACCGAACCGAACCGAACCAAAUGAAACUGAACCCGAUCGAUUCCAUAAUUAAAUUUGGACUCGACGAUUCUACUUACUAAAUACCCAAAAAUUUCAAGUCUAGUUCGAUUCUAAAGAGAACCGAACCGAACCGAACCGACCAAGUCAGCCUUAGUAGUGGAUUGAUUUACAUUUUGGAGAUUUUUUGGGCUUUUAGAUCUGACUAAUCUGCAUUUUGGUGGUUUUUGGAUCUGGCAGCAGUUUUCAUUGGAAAUACAUGUGAGGGUGUUAACAGUGGUGGUGAGGUCGGCAACGACCAGUUGGGGCAGUUGCUGGUGGGGUGGGGGUAGCACUUUCUCUCACCCUCCUAGGGUACAUUUUCGUAAGAGCUCAUUUUUUAGACUUAACUUCAAUUUUUUUCCUACUUGUGGGGCCUCCUCUUGUUCUUUUUCAAUAACAAAUCAUUUUUCAAGGAGAUGCCCAAAUGCUCUUUUACAGUAAGCUUUCGCUGCAUGUUUGCUCGUGGUUAUAGUAAAUGGUUUUGAGGGAAAAAUCUGCUUUCAUGUAGAGUUAAUUUUUUUGUUAUAGUAAUUUUGGGUAGGAUGUUAGUUAGUUUGUUUUAUAUAUAAGAGUUUGGUUAUAUUUUUGAUGAAUUGGUUGAGGUUUGGAAGUUCCAAACUUUGAAAUUAAUAGAAUUGAUUUCAUUUAAAGGUAUUAUGUUAAUGGUGAUACCUGUGGAUAUAUACAAUAAAUAUGUUUUCGUGCAACAUGAGAAAGAGUAGUAAAUUAAAUUAACAGGAAAAUAUUUCCUACAUAAGAAUAAGAUUGAAAGUUAAAAAAAAAUUAAAAAGUUUUAUAGACGUGUCAAGCUUCCAAUGUGGUUAAGCUUUCGUAAAAAAGGGACAACCUUAAAAUUAAAAUUGGAGUUCUUAGCUUAAAGAAAAGAGAAAAAAGAAAAAAAAAAUUCGAAGCAGAUUCUGCGUGCACACAUGUAGUGCUCUUCGUGUGUGCAGUCUCCGUGCACAGAUAGUGCAGUCUCCAUGCACGGAAUGAGCACUCUCCAUCCACGGAGAGUGCAAAUAGACAAUUGGGAAAACUGAUACGAGAGAGAAUUGAAGAAACAAUAGGGAAAUUGAAUGCCAAAAAGAAAAAAAAAAAAAAAAAAAGAGAGAUCAUUUGCUCUAUGCAAUCGAUUAUCGAAACUUGUUUCUUUUCUGCAUCAACUUCCUGGACAAACUACACCUUAAUUGAAUUUCUAAGAGUUUUUUCUUUUCUUUUUUUCGUUAUUUGCACCAUAUUCAGGAAAAUUUGAACUUUUAAUACAUUCAUUACUUUGUGUGGUGGUGAAAUUUAACUUCAGAGGAACCACUCUUUUGUGGUCUCAGGUAAAUUAUCUUCAUUCUACUUUAACAUUGGCAAACGAUGCUUGUUUUUUCUUUCUAUAACUUAAGGUUUUUUUUUAAAAAAAAAAAUUGGGCUUGAUUUUUGUGGUAAAAUUUGAUUGUUUGACUUGUGAAUUGUCCAGGGAAGUUUCUGAAAUUUUAGCUGGUUUUAUUUGCCCAAAAAGAAGAUCAAAUUUUGGAAUACACUGCUAUGUUAUUGUUCGACAUAAUCGAUGGAUUAUAAUUAUGUAGAGCUUAAUAGUCAUUCCAUGCUUCAUUCCUGUUUGCUAAACUUACUGUUUGCUUAGUUGCUCCCAAAUCCUUACUGGAAUUUUUGAAAUCGACAUGAAAGAAGAAAAAUGAGGCCGCAAACACAAGAAAACAAAAAACAUAUAAAAUAUUAGUGAUAUGGGAGAAUUUCACCAUUGAUCCCCAACUUAUUGCUCAAAUUUCAAUUAGUCCUCAAAUUUUUUAAAAUCAAUCUUCAGCCCCUUAUUCUUAUCUCUUAGCCCGAACGGCCUUAAUUAUGAAAAAAUAUAUAAAUCUAUACUAGACCACCACAGUACUUCCAUAAGUCCAAAGUUAUACCUUUGUGGUGGAAACAAGUAAUCCUAUCAAAUAAUAUAAAAAAUUUGACAUGUCAGUUGAAAGAAUCCUUGAAAGGCAUUACAUAAAAAUUUGUAAUUUUCUACGAUGGCUAAACAUUUCUUUUUCAUGAAAAAAUGAUAAGUAAAUUAUAUAUAGACAUGAUUCAAUGUGAGUUAUUUUGAGUUAAUUCAAUGCCAUGCCACGUCUUUUAAGUAUUUCAAACCGAGGUUCUAAGUGCUACGACCUUCCAUCCAAUUACCAUAAGAAAUUCUAUAUGAAAAUAAUGAAUGCUCUUAAGAAAGUCCAAAUUCCUAGAAGGAAUUCCGGAUGAAGCAAUAAGUAUUGCUCUGGAGCAGUUCGAGCUAAGGUUGUGAGUUUUGUAACUCCCACAAGGAAUUUUAGAAGAAAACAUAUUGCUCUUAAACAAAUCCAAAUUCCAAGAAGGAAUUCUUGAGGAAGAAAUAAGCAGUUUGAAUUGAGGUUGCGAGUGCUGAAAUGCUUUCAGCCAAUAUUUUAUAAGAAAUUUUGAAGGAAGAAUUAAUGAUUUCUCUUAUGCAGUCCGGAGCUGAGAUUACAAAUGCUAUAACACAUAACUAAUUUUUAUAAGAAAUAAAGAUUAGUCUAGCAUAAUCCCAUAGUUACAAAAGUGUCAAUUUUGAUCUUCAAUAGAGAAAUAUACAAUUGUAAGCUAAUGAAUACGCAAUAAAUACAAAACUCGUGCAAUGCACGUGACAAAGACUAGUUUUUAAAAUAGGUUGAAUGCCUAGAACUUCGUGUGACGGAGGUGACUUCCGUGUUUUAGUCCCAUUUUUGUAAAAAAAAAGUUUAUUAUAGAAUACUGAUUUUUUGAACAAUGUGUGCUUAAAAAAUAAAAAAAAAUAUUUUUGAUUUACAUGUAAAACUAUUUUAUGGAGAAUGUGAAAUUGGAAAUGAUUUUUUUUUAUUUUUUUUUUUAAAGGGGGGGGGGGGGGCCAAGGGCUCGAAGUCACGCUAGUUGAAGGGUCAGGAAUCUCAGCUCAAAUUCUUCAAACAAGGAUUGCAUCACAAAAAUAAAAAAAGCGUGACAUUUAUUUUUUAGAGCGCAACAACCUAUUUCUCUCCCAUUUGUAAACAAUUCUCUCUCCAUACACUAAACCAUUUCCCUCUCGUGAAAUUAGUGGUUUCAAGAAUUUAUUGCUUUGAACAAUGUUGUCCUGUAUUGAAUUGACAGGAAGAAGGUGUUCUUACUAAAGAGCCUCGAUGAAGUGAUUUUCGAGGUGGAGGAUGUUGGAAAAAAUAGUAUAUGGCUCGCUUUUGAUACAAUUUUUGGUGGGACUCGUUGGUCCAAUUCGGAAGAUCAAAAUUGAUUUGUGUUCUCAUUAGAAUAUCGAAAUCAUGUAUUUACUUGUCAAAAAUGAGCUUGGGUGAAUGAGAAAUUGAAGCUUAAAGUUGAUCAUUGGAAGAUGAUUUAUGUAGGAAAAUGAGUUUAUCCCACAUAGGAAAAUUAUGAAAGCAAGAACCACUUUAUAUAUGGCUACACAUUAAACGGGUGUAAUCAUAUGUAGUAUAAAGACUCUCUCCACAUGCGCUCGCAGUGGGAUGCAAAUCACAGACCGAAAUAGCUUUAGGACCUUGAACUCGUGUACGGGCGCACUUGCGUACACGAAUGUCAAACCGAAUGGAGAAAAAAUUGGCCCGUUUGAAGUGUCCACGUUUUGCAAUUUUUUUUGCUUUAUCCAAUUGACUUUUGAGUUUCUAAAACUGCUAAAACUCCGAUGGUUAUUGCAGAAACUAAAGUAACUCCAAUUUUUAUUGCCAUAGAGUUAAUGGACAGAAUUAACUUAUAUUAAAUCUCACUUUCUAGCAAUUCUUACACACGAAAUACAGGAGAAAAAAUGUGCCUUCAUAUUAUCAUUCUUUGCGAAGUUGGUCUGUCUGUAUAUACAAUCUCGAUUUCUGUCAACGUCGUCUUGGUUGUAAUAUUGUUCGAAUACUAAUCAAUUCACUGAAGUAGUAUCUGUGAUGCUCGGAUCCUACUGGUUUUAUUAUUGUAUCCUGGGAAAUAGACGUUCGAAUUAAAUCUUAAUUACUUAAAGUGAAGGGGUGAAUCUGUUUUAAGGAAAUUGUGUACGCACAGACUUCGGGUUAAAAAUUCAUUUUCCUGAAUUUUAUUUUACCAUUUGACUUGCAGAUUUAUAUGCAUUUAUAUUAUUUUUGUGCUUCAUAUAUUUGAAGUUUAUUUCAUGCUUAUGUUAAAAUACAAAUUUGAGUCUGUUUAUGUUAAAAAUAAAAAACUAAAUUUUUUUUACUGACAUUUGGUUUGGUAAGUGCAUAUAUGGUAUUAUCCAAGUUUGAUAUUUAUAAGUGCAAAAAUCGGUAUUUGAAAAUACGGUAUCUAACCUCACUGCAUAUACGGUAUAUGCAAAUACGUUAAGCUCUUGCAUGUAUGGUACGUUGGUGCAAAUACAGUAAAUUGUUGUAAAUACGGUAUACUGUUGCAAAUACGGUAAAAUAUUGCAAAUAUGGUAUGCUGUUACAAAUACGGUAAGCUGUUGCAAAUAACUUUUGAUACGGACUAUAUGGCAAUUUUAUUGAUUCAAUUAUUUUCUUGUUUUUGGGCACAUGGGGUGAAAUAUAACAAUUUAAAUUAUCUUUUACGAGUAAAUUAUUAAAUAUAUACGGUAGUACAACGUAUUGCUCAUUACUGAAAAUGUAGAGGUCGGUCAAAGUUCUAGCAAUGAUGAAAAUAUAGUUUAUUGAAAAGAAUUUGAACGAUUAAUCACAAUCUAAAUGAAAAUUAAUCUUUUUGAUUUUUAAAACUCAAUAUUCGUCAAAAGAAAUAAGUGAGAUAUCACUCUAAAAUGUUUACUAAUUUAAAAUUGAAAAUAUAUUCCUCAUCAUGCCUUUUAUCCAUCUGUUAAAUAACAUAUAUAUAAAAAUCCAAUUUCAACAUUAUAAUCUAUUGUGAGACAGAAACUCGUUUGAUAGCUGCAAUGAUUUCCAUGUGCUGUCGAGGGUUGUAUAGUGAACGCUUUUUCACUAAUGAGCCCCAAGGACGCUUGCCGACUGUCGUCGGUGAAUUCCACAUUCCGAUUAGCUGUAGAAUCCAACGUCGUUUGGGGAAGGUUUUUGCCGCCUAAUUAUCGUGACAUUUGUUGGUCAACAAAUCUUGAUUCCUCUCAAUUUUUUGUAGGGAUGAAGUGGUCAACAAAUCUUGGAUCCAGAAGGAUAUGUAGAGAGAAAAAUGAGAGAACAAAGAGUGAGUGUUACUCUCCAAAUUAACUCACUCUCUAUGAUUAAAUGUAUUGAAAAUAUUUCAACAUAAUGGAUAAAAUAAUAAAAUAAUUUGAAGAAAAGUUAACGAAAAUAAAAGACAAAAAAAUAAUAAAAUAUUUUUCGGACUAGUAAAAUUAAGUGUAAAACACAAAGAGUCCAUCGGAGUACUUAAAAAAUUUAUUUCAAAUUUAUAGAUGUUCUGUAAAUUGCUAAAGAUGCUCUUUAAACCACAAUACCAAAAAAAAAAAAAAAAAAAAAAAAAAAAAGGUCUCUUGCAAAUAUUCAAGUAGUUCAAAAAUUUUUAUAUUUUUUAAAUAGGUUGAAUGACUAGAACUUCGGGUGACAGAUGUGACUUCCCUGUUCUAACCCCAUUUUUGUAAAAAAGUUUAUUGUAGAAUAUUGAUUUUUUGAAAAAUAUAUGCUUAAAAAAUAAAAAAAAUAUUUUCGAUCUAUAUGUAAAACUAUUUUACGGAAAAUGUGGGAUUAAAAAUGAGUUUAAAAAAAAAAAAUGGGGGCCAAAGGCUCGAAGUCAAGCAAGUUGAAACGUAAGGGAUCUCAGCUCAAAUUCUUCCCUUUUAACCUUCAAAGAGGGAUUGCAUCACGAAAAUAAAAAGAACCCUGCUACUCUUACAGGUAAGGAUGGCAAUCGAGUUCGUCAAUUCAGGCUGUCCGUGGUUCGACUCGAAAAAAGUUCGAGCCCGCCCGGCUUGAGGUUCGGGCUGAGCCCCAUUUUUAGAUGCCGGACAAAGCUCAAGCCGGCCCGUGUGACUCGUCGGCUCGGAGCAUAUAUUUUUUAAUAAAAAUAAAAAACAACACGCUGCUGCCAAAAAUAGGACAGCACCUGCCUUGUUAGGCAGCAACCUGCUGCCAUUUUAUUUAAUUAAAAAAAAUUUCAAAACCAAACAAUACCCGAGCCGGCCCAGCUCGGCUUGAAAAGGCCCAAGCCAAAAGCUCGGGUUGAGCCCAAUUUUUUUUUGCUGAGCUUUUGCUCAGCUCGAGCCUGGAAAAAAGCUCGAAUAUUUUAUCCGAAUCGAGCCCGAGCCUAGAAUUUCAGCUUGCGAGGCUGCUCGACUUGGCUCGUUGACAUCCCUACUUACAGGGAAUACACACAAUCGCUGGCCUCGACAUAUAUAUAUUAUUAUUAUUAUUAUUAUAUUUUCCACAUGGGACCACCCCUCAUUGGAGGGGUCGGUAAGUCCCCUUUAAGAAAUUACACAGAGCAAUUUCCAAAUAAAAAAAGCGUGAAGUUUAAUUUUUACAGCGCAACAACCUACUUCCCUCCCAUUUGUAAACAGUUCUCUCUCCAAUCACUAUACCAUUUACCUCUCGUGAAAUUAGUGGUUUCUAGAAUUUAUUGCUUUGAACAAUGUCGUCCAGUACUGAAUUAACAGAGAAGAAGGUGUUCUUACUGAAGAGCCUCGAUGGAGUGAUUUUCGAGGUGGAGGAAUCGGUGGCGGUUCAAUUGGAGGUGAUCAGAGAAUUGAUAGAGGGGGAUUGCGCCCGACCCUUCAUCCCUCUUUACAAUGUCACCUCCGAGAUUCUGGCUUUGGUCAUUGAGUAUUGCAAGCACCACGCUGAGACCUGCUCCGGUGGCACUUCCGCCACCAUUGCCGAUGAGGAUUUGAAGACAUUCGACAACGAGUUUAUGAAUGUUGAUGAGAACAUACUCCUUGAACUAUGCUUGGUAUCUCUUAUUUCUUUUAUUAAGAAAUGCACUUAAUUAACUGUCGGGUCUUACUGUUUGAAAUCUGCCGUAAUUCUGGAUUAGUUGUUGCUUUCCGCUGAUGGUUGAUUUCCCCUUUUAUGGUGUUAUUUGGGGGCUGAAUUCCAGUGAGUGAUAAUGGGUUGAGUGUUAAACUAAUUGUUCGAAAGUCAUUAAAUAGCUGUUGUGGUUUCAAUAAUCACUUGUUAUGGAUUACUCAGAAAUCCAUGCUUGUAAUUGCUCGUCGCCUUUGAAGGCUUAUGAUUAAACCGUUAGGUUAGAAUUUAAGAAAUUAAAACAGAGCAUUUAUAAUUCCAUUUCAAGGCCCUAAUACCUUACUAAUUUGAACUUCAUGUCCAAUAAUAAGCAUCAUCUAGGGGUUACUAGACACCUUAGUCAUACUGUGAGGCAUGAUUCUUCCUGUGAUGGAGCAUGUGGUAAUGCAGAUGCAGUGAUCUUGCUGCAUCAACAAAUACAAAUGCUUUUGUAUAACAUUUAGCAAUUUUAUAUUUCAAGCAGUUGAAAGGUUUUGCUAAUGGCUGCAAUAAUUCUUCAGGCUGCCGACUAUUUGGACAUCAAGAGCCUUUUUGAGCUUACAUGUCGAACUCUGGCAUCCUUGAUCAAGGAUAGGACCAUCAUUGAAGUUCGCAAGAUGUUCAACGUUGAGAAUGAUUUCUCUGUGGUUGAGGAAAAGGCGGUUCGGAAAGAGUUCGCUUGGGCAUUCAAUUGAUGAUUCUGCAAUUGUCCAUAUAGCAUAAGAGUGUGCCAUAUUCUGUUAGUAGCUUCUAUGAAUAUUAGACUUUGAACUUCAGUAAACUGUAAAGCAUAUGAAACUAUAAUCUGCAAGGUAAAGCUAAAAAAAUCGAAGAUGGUAAAAUUGUCAAUUGUCAUCAAUUAAAAUGAUUGGCUCCAACAAAGCUAUAAUCUGCAGGGUUUCUAGCAAAUUAAGAACGGUAUUUUAUAUCGACAUGAAUCUGUUGAGCCUGAGUUUUAUCAGAUGAUUCAGAUUUAAAGUUGGCUAUCGAUCAAUUUAUAACACAUUUUCUGCCCUUUUGAAAUUAAUUAAUAAGGACAAACAAUAAAGAGCAAAUCGAUAUAAGUUAAAAUUAGAGGAAAUUUCACAAAAUGUCCAUUUUUAUCUAGUCAUUUGCAAAAAUGUCCACCAUUGCAAAAAUGUCUAAUUUGGAAGAAUUUAGACAAAAUACCCUUAUUAACAAUUUAUAAUUCCACACUAAGAUAAAAAAGAGACAUUUUUGCAAUAUUGUUAUUGGCCAAUAAAAUUUUGGCACAUAACCUGCCAUAUUUAUUUCAAAAAGUAUACAUGUCAAAUCACAAUAAAUGCUAUGUUUUUCAUUGAUUCAGAAAUGUCGAGAACGACAUUUUUAAAUGUAGAAAAAUGUCAUGUUCAAAAUGAAAUAUCAUUAUAGACAAAUGAAACGGUAUUCAAAUGUCGAAAAUGACAUAUGAAAUGUCGAGAAACAUUAUCUUAAUGUAGCUUCUCAUAGAAGCCAGUUUUCAAAAUUCGUGACAAAUUGAUAAAAAAAUCAAAUGUCCAAAACAACAUUUAAAAUGUCGAGAAUACAAUCCAAAUGUAGCUUUUCAUUAAGAGUAUAAUAGACAAGUUGACACUAAAUUCAUAUGAGUAGACACUUUUCAACUCAUACCCUUAAAUUGACAUUCUUAAAAAUGCCCCUUAAAAUUAUAGUGAUUGUUUCUCACCCCAUACCUUAGUAAAUGCUGACUACUCAAUGUUGUUAUACGACAAGAUUAAUCUGGACAAUGAAGGUGCUUAGCGUAGUGACCUUUUCUUGCAAAAAUUCAAUCUUGGCAUUGAUAGAAAAUGCAAACGGCCUGCAUGACAUAACAUCCUCCCCCACCUAACUGGGAACAACCUCGUUGCGUUGAAAUGCCGAAGUCUCUCUUCAAAUUGCGACAAGUCUUUCUAGAUUACUUUGCCUCACUAGGAAGAGAUUAUCUCAAUAAUUCUACGAAAUAUGUGUUUUACGGAUUGCUUUAGUAUCUAUGAUUCUAUAGAGGGAACAACAUUCAUAUGAAGAGCAUAUAGAAAUAUCUACCCGAAAAUAUCUUUCCUCAAGGUUGGAAUCCCUAGGAUAAGGAUGUGGAUCAAUUAACUAAUGCUGAAAAUCAAUGUCAUGGUUUGGGGAUUCAACAUGUCAAAAAUUUUGAAAACCGGUUACUCUUUAAGGAAAUCUAUACGAGUUUUGUUUUUUGAAAAAUUCUUAUAACUCAAAGCCCAAGUUCUGUAUGAAAAUCGUUUUCCAAAGUAAAGUUUGCAUCUUACCAACGGUACAAGAUUUAUCAAAAUCUAAAAUUUCCGUAAAAUUAGUGAUUUUCAAAAGUUAUCAUACUUUCUUGUGCACUUAUUUGAGAUAUAAAUUAUUGUAACUCAAAUCAAAGCACAAGUCUUGUAAUGAAUCCCCCUUUUUUUUUUAAAAAUAAAAAAAAUUAAAGUAAUGGAUACAACUUUUCAGCGAUAUAACAUUCAUUCAAAUCUAUAUCAGUGAUUUUUAAAGGUUUUUAACGACUUUGUUGGAUUUUUUACCCAAAUUAGGUUAGAUUUUUUUGAAAAAAUAUUCUUUCAUUUAUUGCACCGGCUUUUAUUGGAAAAAUAUUAUUUCCUUUUUAUUCCACGCAUUUUUAUUGGAAAGAUAUUAUUUCAUUUUUAUUCCACACAUUUUUAUAGGAAAAAAAUAUUGUUUCCUUUCUUCUACAUUAUUUUUAUCCCGUUUCCAUCGUUGUAGUAUUCUAGGGUUUGGCAUGCACCCCUGUAAAUACUGGAUUCUUUCCACAAGUUUUCUAUUACUGAAAUAUAAAAUAAUUGUAUUUAUUUUCUCCGUAUUUGUCAAUUGAAUAAAGUACUCAAUUCCUUCACCAAUUAAUUCUUUGCCUUUUAUCUUGUUAUUUGUUUGCGAUUAUAUACUUCAUAUCAUUAUUUCUCAAUGAGUGGUAUUAAAGCUAUUAGUUGUAAUUUAGUUUGAGGUUUCAAUUAUCUAUGGCAGCCAUGAUGUAUGAAUUUCGCUUUUUGAUCGCAAUACAAGAUUCUCGUUAUGGAAAAUGAAGAUGCUGCUAUUUUGGCGCAGAUGGAUUUGUAUGACGGGUUGUUAAAAUUUGACCAAAUACUCACAACUUGGACAAUAGAGAAGAAACAAUGGAAGAGUCGGAAGGCACUUUCACAAAUUCAUCUUCAUCUCUCCAACAAUAUUUUUCAGGAUGUUUUGAAAGAGAAGACAACUGCAUUGAGGUUGAAGUUGGUGCAAUUAUACAUGAUCAAAAUUCUAACAAGCAAAUUGCAUCUAAAGCAGAGGUUGCAUUUUCAUCGCAUGGCAGAAAGCAAAUCUUUGGAAGAUCAUCUGACUCUAUUUAAGGAGAUCGUCAUUGAUUUGAAGACCUUAGAGGUAAAGCACAAUGAAGAAGAUUUUGCCUUAAUCCCAUUGUGCUCGCUGCCUGCUUCGUUUAGGGACUCGAUUUUGUAUAGUUGCGAUACUCUCACUUUUGAAAACGUGUAUGAUACCCUAUUCUCAAAGGAGAAGAUGGAGCAUCUGGUUGGCUAUUAGUCCAGAGAUGGAAAAGGCCUUGUGGUUCAUGAUGAUUGGAGAAAGGGUAAGUCGAGGUUAUGUUUCAAUAAGUAGAUUUUUUAUUAUUGUAAGAAAAAAAGGAUAUAUUAAGAGGGAUUACGACAAAUUGCAGAAGAAAUGUAAUUUGACUGCAAAUCAUGAGAAGUAAUCAAUACUUCAUAGGAGACCAACAUUGUCAAGAACUGUUUGAGUGAUGGAGAUGUUUUAACAAUUAUUUUGACAUGAAAUCCAAACUUGACAAGGAGUGAAUUUUGGAUACAACUUGUGCAUUCUAUAUGUGUCCCAAUCGAGAUUUGUUUGAAACAUACGAAACAAGGACACAAGGUGUCGCUGUCAUGGGUAAAAACGAACCUUUUCGGGAGUUGGUAUUCGUAGAGUAAGAUUGAAGUUGGUGGAAGGAACAUGUAAAACACUUGAUCACAUUCGAUAUAUUUCAUACUUGAAGAAGAAUCUCAUUUUGUUAAGUAUUUUUUAUUCAAAAGGAUAUACGUUCUCUGGAGAAGGUGGAACAAUGAGAGUCCGAAAAGGGUGUUCGUGUUGUGUCAAAGAGGUCCCACUUAUAUAUUUUGCAAAGUUGGGCAAAAUCUAACCUGCACUCAAGAGGGGAUAAAAAUGCAAUUGAGUUCUUGCUUAUAAAUAUGUAAAAGUUGAUUAGAGAUAAUAAGAUAAUUAAGAAUUAUAUUUAAUAGUUAGGUAAAAUCAAGUCCUAUGCUUUCUUAUCUUGUGAAAGAAGGGGGAAAAAGUAUAGGUGGAUUAUCAUCCCAUAAAAUCAUGGAGGUAAUUGGUAUUAAUUAAAUAUGAUUUUUUGAAAGUAAUAGAUAUGAUAUUUAGUUGGCGACAUUUGAGGAAUUGUAAUAGAUUUUUUUUAUUGUUAUGUAUUUUAAUUGGAGAUAGUUACCAAAAAUAAUCCGACUACGUUAAAAGUAGUUUUUUUUUUGGAAUAUUGGAGAAUGAAAAAGAUGUAAAUGUAACAGUAAUUCUAUAAAUUUUUUUUUUUUUAUUGAGUUAUAUAAGAAAAUUUCCCUUUCUUUUUCUUUGUCAUAUCAGCCCAUGGACAAAUUCAAACCAGCCCAUAUUUCCAUUUGCUCAAACCCUAAACAAAACAAUUAAAACUUACUUCAGCCCAAUUCACACACCCAAACCCAAAUCAAACACCCCGAAUUCCCCUUUUUCUUCCAUUAUUCCGUCUCUCUCCAUCUCUAAGCAACGCCUCCUAUUCAUCCUCGGAUUGCACAUCGCGUUCUUCUCAAAAUUAAGGUUUCCUUCUUCUUUAUUUUGUAUGUCACUCUCCAUUAGCCUUCUUUCUAUCUUUAUUAGUUUAUGUAUCUGAAUAGAUAAUUAUGUUUCAGUAAAUUAACUAUGUCCAGAAGUCUAUUAAUUGGGUAAUUUAUAACAAUAAUAGGUGAGAUGAUAAUCUGUGUCCAAAUCGGAAUUAUCAAUUACAUCUUUAUCAUUAAAUUUUUGGUUUAUCAUUAAAUUAUUUGAUGAAAAUGACUUUUAAUGUUAUGUAUGAAUUUAUUUUAACACUGUUUGGGCUCCAUUUAAAGGAGCUUGAAGAAAAAUGUAUUUUUGAAAUAGUAAUUUUUUAAAAAUGUUCAAAAGAAGGAAAAGUUUGAAUAUACGUGUAAUAUUAUUUUAUUAAAAAAUAUUGAUUGAAAAAAAGAAAGAAAAAAUGUAUUAAAAUUAAAAUGGAGCCACAUUAUUGCCUUUCUCAAAUUUCAGCCCUUGUGUCUUAAUAUCCUGGUCCGCGCUUAGUCCUCUUUGAUACCCUAGUCUCUCUAUUUACAAUAGGUCUUGACAUCGAGAGAAAAGGAUGUCGAUCGAGAACUAUGGUGAUUUUCAGAAGUUGCCGGAGGGUUGCAUAGCGAGCUUGCUAUCGUUUAUGAGCCCUAAGGAUGCUUGCAGGCUGUCAUCGGUCAAUUCUACAUUCCGUUCGGCUGCUGAAUCUGAUGUCGUCUGGGAGAAGUUUCUGCCGCCUGAUUGUCGUUACAUUAUUUCCCGAUCAAUUGAUGGUGCUGACUCGCUUCUCGCUAAAAUUCAUACCAAGAAAGAGCUUUAUUUUCACCUGUGUCAUAACCCUAUCCUCAUCGACGGUAGUACCAAGGUAAUAGAAUUUCCAACUAGUUUUCCUGAUUUUGGAUUAUCCACUGGAAUUAUUAGUAAUUUAUUUACUAAUUUUGGGUUCUUGCGUAUUUUAUGCAAAUUACCAAUCAACGGGGGUUUUAAAUGGAUUGCUUUCGGUGUUGGGGACAUGCCUUAUGCAUAUAAUUUGCAUUAGUUUCGAUUAGAAAUUAUCUAAAUUCUACCAACCUCUUCUACAAUUUUUAUUUAUUUAUUUAUUUGCAAGUUGUAAUUUUUUUGAAAUCCUAACAAUUAAAUUCUUGCUGAAUCAAGUUACUUCUUAUGAAACCCACUAUUAGACUCUGCCAGUUCAUGAAUUGUGAUUUUAUCAAUACACUCUUAAUGUAAUUCUUGGCGAAAUAGGUAACUACAAAUGUUACAAAAAGCUAUUUAUUAUUUGAAUUUUAUGUUAUAACGGACUGGAAUAUUUCUAUUUUAAUAAUUGUUCGUUCUCAUUUUGUAGAUUAAUUAAUUUUAUUGCACUACUUGCUGUUUGAAAUUUGACUUUGUGGGUGGUAAUGGCUUAUUUAUUUAUGCCACUAACGUCAACAUUUAUGUUUUAAAAGCUAUUAGCAGUUCUAUGGCUUUAGAUGUCCAUUGUUAAAUAAUAUGUGCCUCUAAAUGUCCAUUGUUCAAUUUUAUUACAUCGAGGUUUAAAAAAAUGACCGUAGGCUUAACUGCGUGGCUCUGUACUACUACGAUUAAGAAAUAAGGUUGAAGUACUAUGGAUAUCAGAGCUAUCUGUUUAAAUGUCUCAAAUUAGUGAACUUUGCUUAUCUAUGCUAGCAGGCUAGGUUCAUUAGACUAGGUAGCUUAAGAGCGUGGAAUUGGACCUCCCUCAAUAGAUGAAUAUGUUAUAAUGGAAUUGACCCAAAAAUUUCUCUAUUUAAAUUUUGCCAGUCCUUGGUAACAGCGUAAAAUCAGACGGAGUAUGUCCAGCUGUAAUCCUCAACCGAUCUUACCUGAUCUAAUUGUAUUACUGACUGUAAUUGAUUUCUUGUGUGUAAUAGUAUUCUAUAUGGCCUCACUGGUAAGUGGUUACCUGUACCCUGCUUCCAUUCCUCCUUUUUAUAAGAAAGCCAAAUGUUAGAAGAACUUGGUCGUUCUAACAGCGACAAGAAGACUAUAAAAACGACCAAGAUCAAGAUACUACGGUCCAGUCUUGGUCACAUGGCGCAGUUUCUAGGACCGACUGACGCCUCACCUGCAUUGGUACCUAGUGUAGUGGUUGCACAUUCAACGUAGUGUUUGGACUCACGUGCCUUCCAGGACCGAGAUUUUUGAGUGUACUGCAUAUGAUUUGCCAGCUUUGUGGCAACAAAAAGAUUAGAUGUCCCCCCAUGCUAUGACCAUUUGUAAUUUCAUCUCUUUCACCCCAUGUCCUAUGUCCCAACAUUGUAUAUCUCUUCACCUUGACACCUUUGACCAAUUAGAUUCCUUACACGUGUAGACUCUAAUCAUCAUGAAAAUUCAGCAUGGCCAUUGUUUCAUUUAUUUGGGUUGAGGAUGCAUUUUACAGUUUCUCUGUUGCUACAGAGCUUUUCAUUGGAGAAAGGGACGGGAAAGAAGUGCUUUAUGCUGGCUUCAAGGGACCUCAUUAUAUGGGGUUGUCCACCCCGUUGGCAAUGGAUCUCUUUUCCCAAUUCCAGGUUCUAUAUUUAUCCUGCAUAAGAAUAACAAGUAUUUUUUUUUUUUUUAAUAUUAAUUAUCUCGCUUGAUAGUUUGUUGCGUGUCUGAUUCAGAUUUCCAGAGGUCGGAGUGCGUCUUGUUGGGUACUUGUUUGCAAUUUGUGGCAAGAUAAAUACCUCCAUGCUUUCUUCAGGAACUAAAUAUGCAGCUUACCUCGUGUUCACUUUGAGAUCAGGAAUUAAUGGAUAUGGGCACCAGCUUGCUCAGGCUUUGAUAGAAAUUAGUGGACAAAACGCUGAUGAACAAACUAACUAUUUACAAAUUGGACAAGAAGCUGAUGGUACAACUGUCUAUUGUCCAGAUGAAGAACAGAGGCAAAGGUGCCAGACUGUUCCUAGACCCAAAACUUUCUUGCAUUUAAUCUCUCAUGUAUUUAGACGGCUAGACAUCAUAGAGCCCUCAGAGUUGCACAGAUAUCCCAAGUUCAGGGAUGAUGGAUGGAUGGAAGUUGAGAUGGGAGAGUUCUUCGUCGAGGGGAAACAAGAUCAGGAUGUGAAAAUUAUAUCUGUGCCGUGGAAUCCAGGACUGUGGUGUAAUUGUUGGCAUGGUGGUCAUCUUAUUAUUCAAGGUAUUGAUAUCAGACCAAGAGCUUGGUGAAUAUUUGAUUUACUAUUUUCAUCAGAAAUAAGUUCAUGGGUGUGGGAGUCCAACUAUGUACACUUCCAAUUCAGCUUAUUAACUUUUCUUUGCUUAUUACCUCUGUUUAGGUUAUUUAUUUUGUGUCCCAGACCUCACACAUUAUUCUCUAAACUCACGUGAUAACAAUUUUUUGAGCUUAUGAUGAAUUGGAGAAUUAGGAUUAUCUUUUUUAUUCUCUCUUUUAGUACGUUUCAAGUGAAUGAAUAAUUUUCAUUGUCAGUCAAUUGUUUGAAACUACUAGUCAUAACGACCUUUAGAAAGUUUUUGCUUGAACUUGUGGCUUGAUGCCUUUUCUAAUGCCUAUAACCAGGGGCGGACCCAGCCGUUUUGGAUUGUGGGGCCAAAAAUUAGAGUCGUGCUGUAGUGCCCGCAUGAACGACCGCGGAGUUGACACAACACACACAUGAGAUCGGGAUUAUUUUAUUCAUGGGGUUCCCGUUGGACAUGUGAGGGCACAGUCACUUGCGAGUUCAUCUUCGCGGGUUGUGUUUAGCUCCAAAAAUUAAUGUGUAAUUUUUUAAAACAAUAUAAUAUUUAUAAAAAUAAGUCAAUACGUAUUUUGACAUCUGGAAAGUGUCUUAUAAUUCGAUCAUUAUCAAUAUUGUUAAAUGAAUUUUGCUAUAUGUAUAGUUUUGUUUAUCAUGUCAUUUAUGGAUGUUGAGUUAACGACGAGUAAAUCAAAUUGGAUGUAAGAAGUAAAUGAAAUUUAAGUUUAAUGAAAAAAUAAUUUGAAACUAAUUCAAAUUACAUUUAAUUCGUAAUAAUUUUAGAAUUUUUGACAUCAUAUUUAAUGUAAAAUUUCUUAAUAAAAUAAUGUAAAUUAUAUUAAAAAAUUUAUCUUGAAAAAAUAAUAACUGUAAAUGAAAUAAUUAAUUUUUUUUAAAAAAAUGACGAGUUAAACGCCUAUUUUAAUACGGACGUUUGAUGCAUAUUUAACUAUUUUUAAUAUCUGUUUGGACCAUUCAACAUAACUACGAUGUAGUUUUCAUAACAAGCUUUUAGAUGAUGCAAGCGAUUUGUAGAUUUGGAUAGUAUAUGAUCAUUGGCAAAUUUUAAAAAUUAUCAUAUUAUCAAAAUUUUCGAAAUACUAAUUUGGAACAGCAUACUUUGAUAUAUCGUAACUUUUGCUAUAGUUGAUCAUUCACACACAAUUAAAAAGCGAAAAAUGAAAGUUUUUGCUUGAACUUGUGGCUUGAUGCCUUUUCUAAUGCCUAUAACCAGGGGCGGACCCAGCCGUUUUGGAUUGUGGGGUCAAAAAUUAGAGUCGUGCUGUAGUGCGCGCAUGAACGACCGCGGAGUUGACACAACACACACAUGAGAUCGGGAUUAUUUUAUUCAUGGGGUUCCCGUUGGGUUAAGAAUGUAAUAUUUCGAUUUCAUUUGGUAUGUAUUAAAGUGGGUCAAAAAUGGGUUAAAACAACCGUUUUCUGAAAAUAAAUUAAAAUUUGUGGGGUCAUCUGACCCCACAUGAUCGCCCCUGCCUAUAAUGAUUUCUCUGUUGUCAAAAACAUGUUUUUAAUUUUUAAUUUUGAUUUUAUUUUCAAUAUUUGGAAGGUCUACGUUAAAAUGGUUGAAAAUACGUUCGAUUUAUCAUUCUUGGAAAAUGUUUAUGAAUUUUAUAAUUUAUUUUAUGAUAGUUUAUUUCAUUAAUCUGAUUAUUCAAUAAAAUAGAAUAGUUUUAUAUUAAAACUAGUUAUGUGUCUUAUUUUGAAAGGGAUGUUAGAAUGAAAUUUAAGUUUAAUGAAAAAAUAAUUUGAAAGUAAUUCAAAUUACAUUUAAUUCGUAAUAAUUUUAGAAUUUUUGACAUCAUAUUUAAUGUAAAAUUUCUUAAUAAAAUGAUGUAAAUUAUAUUAAAAAUUUUAUCUUGAAAAAAUAAUAACUGUAAAUGAAAUAAUUAAUUUUUUUAAAAAAAAUGACGAGUUAAACGCCUAUUUUAAUACGGACGUUUGAUGAAUAUUUAACUAUUUUUAAUAUCUGUUUGGACCAUUCGACAUAGCUACGAUGUAGUUUUCAUAACAAGCUUUUAGAUGAUGCAAGCGAUUUGUAAAUUUGGAUAGUAUAUGAUCAUUGGCAAAUUUUAAAAAUUAUCAUAUUAUCAAAAUUUUCGAAAUACUAAUUUGGAACAGCAUACUUUGAUAUAUCGUAACUUUUGCUAUAGUUGAUCAUUCACACACCAUUAAAAAGCGAAAAACUAGGCCAUGAGCGUUUAGAAACGAUAUUAAGAAUGUAAUAUUUCGAUUUCAUUUGGUAUGUAUUAAAGUGGGUCAAAAAUGGGUUAAAACAACCGUUUUCUGAAAAUAAAAUAAAAUUUGUGGGGUCAUCUGACCCCACAUGAUUGCCCCUGCCUAUAAUGAUUUCUCUGUUGUCAAAAACAUGUUUUUAAUUUUUAAUUUUGAUUUUAUUUUCAAUAUUUGGAAGGUCUACGUUAAAAUGGUUGAAAAUACGUUCGAUUUAUCAUUCUUGGAAAAUGUUUAUGAAUUUUAUAAAUUAUUUUAUGAUAGUUUAUUUCAUUAAUCUGAUUAUUCAAUAAAAUAGAAUAGUUUUAUAUUAAAACUAGUUAUGUGUCUUAUUUUGAAAGGGAUGUUAACGUCUUGAAUGUUAAGGAUUGAGGAGAUAUUGUAUUACAAAAUUUCCACACACAUAUUUACAUAGAAGAAAUAAUGUUCCAUAAAUCUGUAAAAGGAUCAAUGAAUGGUGAAACAUUUAAACAAGGAGGGCAAAGGAAAUGCUAUGGAAAAGGCAUAAGGGGAAAGUUCAAAUUUACAAGAGGAGAACAACGUGUUACAACUUAGAAUGUAACAACGUACUUCAAAAUAUACUUUCGUUUGGUUCCUUUUCUACUAAAUUGACGUAGAAAUGAAGCAAAAGUUCUAUACAAUCAAAAUAAAAAUAGAUGCGGAUUGCAAUAGUUAGAAAGAGACAAAAUCAAUCAUUUGGUAAAAACCUCAAAAAUCAGUUGGGGACUUUAGAUACCAUUGGGCUAGACGGAGUUUUUGUAAAGGUUAAUCGAGAAUUUAAGCCACCUAACUGGAAAACAGAAAAUUUGUUAAGGGACAGAAUAUGCAAGUACACAAUAUGGAAAUUAUCAAAGCAAAAUGCUAUAAUAUUUAAUACGAAAUACAAUUUCAUUGUGGGCCUUACCUCUGCAUUGCUCUUCAUGCAGUUCGAAGCAGGCUUUGUGCAACCAUUCAUAAAGGGAUUAUUUUGUUGUAAAAAAUAAUAUUAAUUUCCCAGAAGGUAGGGCUUUCACUUUGUACAUCAAAACUUUAGAAGAAGUGAACGAAAGUUCAUCUAGGGAAAAUAAUAAGGUGGUUAACAUGAAAAGAGACGUAAUUCGUGGAGAAUGUGGAGCUAUUUAACGCUUUCCAUACUAUUAUUUUAGAGAAUUCUGCAAGAAUCUCCGAAAUGAUUGCAUAGAGAACCUUAAUUAGUUACACAUUUUCCAUGUUAACCAUCUCAUUAUUGUCCAUUUGAGAACCUUUAUGCAUAUCUUAUGGAGUUUUUAUAUAAAAGUGGAGGCUCUUGUUUUCUAUGUAAUUUUAUGUUGUUUCUUAGUUGAAUGGAAAGUACUUUCUAUUAGAUCCUGCAAGGCUGGAAAUGUAAUUUGGUUCAGUUCGUAUUCAUAAUUGACAAAAUGAACAAUUAAUUGAGCAUGAAGAUUGAUGUAUAUGUUAUAUAUACGGAUAGAUAAAAGGAAGCGCAUAAUAUACCGUAAUAAUUUUACUUAUAUGGAAUUCGAUUGAAGUUAAUAAUGCCUCAUGUUGCUUUACUUUAAGCAAGGUAGAAGUAGCAUGGAAAAAGUUUUAUACCAACUGUAGUACUUUCUUUAUUAUUCUUAUGGAGCGUAUUAAAAAGGAAGUAUUGUUAACAUAGGUAGGUAGAGAAAUUCUGGAGAUGCGGAUAGAGUCUUGAUUGACACAGUUACAAUUGUUACAAAGGGGAUAUAUUAUUAAAUUGAAAUGCUUUUGAACACGGCCGUGAAGUGCAAGACACAUCAUAAUUGUCAUUAAUGUAGGAGAGUAUUUUCCUAAAAUUAAUAGCUACACAAAAACGCUUGCAAUGGUAAAAAAUUCAUAUUUACCGGUUAAGUUGCAAAGUUUGAAGUCGGCCUAAGAGUUGUCUGCAAACAGCUUAGCAUUGCUAGGAUUUAAAUUAAUUUUUUUUUCCUACCAUUGCAGGCGGGGAUGAUUUCUCGGGCUUAGAAGGCUUCCCGUCUUCACUGUUUCCCAUGAUAACGCACAAAGUGCAGUCCUUUAUUAAAUUGGUAUCCCAAAAAAAAUCUUUUGAUCUUCGAAACAAAAUGUCAAUGUAGUUUAGAUCGAAUGCUUGGAAUGUGUCGAAACAUUGACGAAGUACAAGAAAGGCAAAUCGGGAAAGAAUCAAACUGAAAAUGAAAUAGCUAUUCAAGUCAAAGAUUCAUCAGGUAGCCACUUCAAACCAACUCGAAAUUGAUCGUGUUGAAAUUGGAUAAGAUGAGAUAAACAAAACUUCAGCUACUAUAUUUGAUCCACUAGAAAUGAUAUGUUUAGUCCUUGAUUAGAGUUUUUCUCUCAACAAAAAAGAUAGAUCUUCAUGUGAUGAUCCUGUGUAAUCUGGCAAGAAGCUUGUACUGCAUACUAUGUUACAUCCUCGGCAAUAGAAAAGCUGGGCGUUUGUUGUAUUUCUUCGACCAUUUUAAGGGAGGAAGUAGUUUUUCUUUGCUGUCAUUCUGUGCAGCAUUUGUAACGUGCCUCAACGGAAUGAAUGUACAUAUCAGUACAACUUUUCUGGUUUUGUUGGAAUGGAUAGGACGAGAUGGUAAAGAAUGUAAUGUCUUUCAGCGAACCAUGCCUAGAGAUGGUUUAAUGGGAAAAUAGAUCAGUAUUUGAUCGAGUAAAUAUUAUGUGUGUAGAAGACAUAAUUGGGAUCUGUAGUUUUUUCUGAACAGGAAAGAAACUUCAUUCCACAGAAUCAACAGUAGUAAUGUUUCCCAGAAAACUAGGUGGUCUAUCCAACCACACUUUGCUACGAUAAUUAGAAAAUGCAUAGCUAGCUGUCCCCAGUUGCUUACCAUCUAAUUGGCACAAAUAAUAUUCCGUCAAAUGAGCCCUCAAGUUUUGUAAUGCAGCAUAGGAUGGUGCCCUUGGAGACCUGAAUUUUUGGCUGCUGCUACUGUUGAGAGUAAAUUGCAUGCCUUCCAAGAUAGCCUAAACCUUUGUCGCAUGAGGAUAGCAACGGGCAGAUACUCUGAGGACAAAGAAGUUGCGUCCUUCCCUUUAUUGCGACAUCAACAUUAAGCUUCAAUUGGUUACCAGCCAUAACAUUCACUUUCUGACUCACCUUCCUUAUCGUCCCAUGCCCUCCCGCUGGAGCUCUAGCCAAUUGAUACUCCUCUACAUAAGCGGUCGAGUGGGGCAGAAUUCUAUAUGCUUCACAUAGCAGUCUUUUGAAGACAAUGGAAUUUCAAUCAUAGGAAACAAUAAUUUUUCAAGUAGAAGUUAUUUAUUUCACAAUACAAGAAUUCUAUAUGUUCUAUUUAUCAAUGGAAGUCAUUUAUUUCACAAUACAUCAUAGGAAACAAGAAUUUUUCAAAUUAAACGCCAAAAAAUUAUGGGUCAAUUUGUUGACAAAGUUCAUGAACAAAGUACAAAAUCAAAUAGUGUUGGAAAAAAUGAGUAAAUGGCUCGCUUUUGGCAAGGGAAUGCCCUCCUCAUUCCAAUACUUCAUCUUCAUCACCAAGAAAAGAAAUUGUUUCAUGGUAAUCAACCCAUAAACCAUCUCUAGAAACGUCUUCAAGAUAUCUAGUUUGCUGCUUCUCAAUAUUACACACUGCCAGACGGGAAUCAUUGCACCCAAAAAUGAUAUUUUCCUUCUUUGCAAAUUUAACAUAUAAAGGUCGUUCCCUAGUUCGCACAAUAAUCUCUUGCCAUGUUUCAGCCACCCCGAAUUGUGUCAUUACCCAUACACUCCAAUCGGUUAAAACAUCACGAGGUACAACAACGAGAGCAAGAACCCCUCUGUAAACAAUGAGAUCUGGAAAUCUUGCAAGGGGCUGCUCAAAAUGUGGCAACGUCACCUGAUGAAACGUUUCUGUUCGAGUAUCAAAUGAAAAGAUAAACACAUCCCCUUCCAGCCUGAAGGGAGGAAUGACCAACCAAUUGAUUCGUCCAUUAGCAACUAAGGGGAUAUCUGACUUUACGAAUAGAGGAGGAACUUCCACAUCAGAGAGCCUUUUCCAAGACCUUGCUUUCAAGCUAAAUAUUUCAACUUGACAUUGUUUCACUUCAAGAAUACUAAAAACUUGUAAGAUUCUGAGUAACUUAUAAUCGUCGUUUAUAUUGUCAUACCAAAAUCCGACAUUAUACUGGAAUCUGUAACCAGAAUCAUAUAAAAUAUUGAAGCUAGUGCUCUUAAUGCAUUUAAAUUUCUCAAGAAUCGGAUUCCACAAGUAUAACACUCGACCACAACAUCGAACAUGAUUGUUAGUAAAGCAAACAAUGCCAUUGAAAGAACCAAUUGGUCGAGAGAAGAAAUCAAACUUUGCAGGCCACUCAACCUGAUAUUCCACGUUCCAGUUACAAAGUACUUUGCAAGGUUCGUACCAAUAGGGACCAAACCAAGGGUUUGGCAUGAGGAGAGCAUAAUCUCUUCUAUCAUCAUCUACACAUCGACUGAGAUGAGUAGAAAUGAAAGCAGGAGAUUUAAUGAAUUCAUAAGAGGAUUUGUUUACUAUAGUAAAACGCCCCACAAAUUUUGGGGGCAGCCAUGAGAAAACUUCAUAAAGGACACAUUCCGGAAAAUAUCGAUUGGUAUUAUAAGCCAUGGAGAUCCUACGAAACAACAAAUAGGUAUUAACAAAUUUAUAUUUUCUGUUAAAGAUCAUUUUACAUGAAUCCAGCUCUGUAUUAUAUAACAAAAUUAUGCUGAUAGCAUUACAUUUUACGAUUUUAGUAAAACAUACGAAUCUACACAAGUAAUUAUGAUAUUAAUAUGAAUAUUUAAACCUAAAAAUUGAUUAAAAUAACAGCUUAAUCCACCAUAUUGAUUUGAAUUUAAAUUAACUUACCUUCAAUUCAAAUCUGAGAGAGCGAACGAGAACAGGAGCACAAAUGAAGAAUGGAGCAGAAAAAAUUAGGUGCACAAAUGAAGAUCGAGCGAGCGAGAAUUAGAAGAUCAAGAGAGAGCGAGAGCGCGAGCGCGAGCGAGAACAGAAGCGCAAAUGAAGAAUGGAGAGAAGAGAGGGGAGGGGAGGGGAUGAUAAAGAAAAAUUGGCGGGAGUUUCCACGAGAUUGUUGAGUCAGUGUCAUGUUUGGCUAUUAAUUUAAUUGUACCUAAAUUAUAAUUUGAAUAUAUAUUAUUUCUAAGUUUUGAUUAAACAAAAAUAAUAAAAUUUACAGUAUUUUUUCUCCCCACUUACCCCAGGCAUCAACUAUAUUUUGAUAAACUCAUUUUGAAUCAUACAUAUUUCAUCCAUAUUAAUCAAAAUCUACUAAAAAUUGGAGUUUUAACAAAAUCAAAUAGUUUUUGGUACAUAUUCAAUCGCACAUUGUUUUGGAUUUGGUUGAUCGGAGUUGAAAUAUCUCCAUAUUUGUUUAUCUUCUUUUCAUGAUUUCAUCAUUCUUAACGGACAAAUCCUUUCUGGAUAUUUUUGACGAUUUUGAUAGGUCAAAUAAACCUCAAAGUACAACUAUGUUUUCCAAGUUCGAGUUUUUUUUUUCCCUCCAAGUUUUUAAGUUCGAUUUUUUUUGGUUGUUUGUCUUCAAGUUUGCAAUGAGUCGGAAUGAUGUCAAUCUUGGCUUGUCGUUAUCAUUUGCUCGGCUUCUAUGAUAAAUCGAUGCUUUGUGAUCAAGGUAAAUAGAGAGGAGCAUGUUUAAUACACAUGAUUAAAGCCGGUCCUCAGGCGAGGGUGGGCGAGGCAAAUGAGGCCCUCGCCUCAGGCCCAAUACCAUAAGGUGCCUUAUUUUAGCCCAGAUUUUUUCCCCCAAAACAAGGCCAAACAACCUAGAUCCAAUGGUGUGCAAUUUGAUGCAAAUUUACUGAAAACAAGAUCUAAAAUGGUUAAAUUUGGGGUUUAUUUUCUUAAAAAUGGUGUGAGAUUUGAUGAAUUUUAUAAAUGAGUGUCUAUAAAUAUUCAUAUCGUUGCUUAUUUUUGUACAAAAACUUUGUGAAGAUAGAUAUUUAUGUGGUUGUAUUUGUUAAAUCCAUGUCAUUGUCUUAUUUUUGUACAAAAACUUUGCGAAGAUAUUACAACAUUUUAUAAUUCUUUCAUUCUAGAUCUGCUUUAAAAGGGACAGAAAGUUGUAUUUUAAUAUAUAUGUAUGUUUUUGUUUAAUUUUAGUUGAUAAUAAAUCUUUAGUCAAUUAUGUCGAUUUCUUAAUCUGCACUUCCACACUUGGCAUCAGUUCCUUCAUUCUAUGAUUAAAUCUUUGGUUUUAUUAUUUUAUAAUAUAAAUCAUUUCUAUAAUAUAUUUGGUUAUUAUUUAAAUGUUAGUUUUAAGUUAGCAAUAGGUCGCAUAAUACACUGUUGAAUUUUACAUUUACGUUGAUUUCGUCGAUGCCUAAUUUGUGAAAUUUGCCCUGGGCCCCGACAAUCCCAGGAUCGACCCUGCACAUGUUGUGCAAUAAGGCAUGUGAAUGUGCAUAUCCAUGCGAUUAGGGCGCAACAAGGAUAGUUCGAGCUUAUCUUUAUGUUCACUAUAAAUACAACGAUCCUCUCAUCCCGACAACUCUACAACCCUCACACUCUAACCCCUCAAAAGAAAUUUAAAUAGAAAAUAUUGUCAUUUAGAUUAUAAGUUGUAGAUUCUAUGAAUUGUAAAUAUAUACUCAGACAUCAUAGUACAAAAAAACUUUUUUGAUGAAAAGUACGGUGAUCAUUUGUACUCUAACAGUUAAAACAGUUAUCAUGAAAAAAAUGAUUAUGGAUAAGGCAAAUGAACGGAGUGUUGGCUAGUUUUUGAAUAUCGUAUAUAUAUUUUUCAUAUAUAAGGAAAAUAAGGUGAAAAGUGCUUAUGACCUUUCAAAUCUUUUGGAUACGUGUCUACCAUUCCUUAUAUUGUUCAUUGUCACAAGUUCAUCCUGUUGAAUUCGAUUUCUUUUGUUUACAUGGCCGUCAAUCCCUCUCCAUUUGAUGUAGGGUAAUGUCACUACUUCGCUAAAAAAUUAUAGCUAAUUGGUACAAAUACAAUUUAGCCUAUACCAUCUAAAAUCAAGCUUCCGAAUCCAUCUCAAACCUAAUCCGUCGGGUCCACGCCAACACUAAACUCAAUUAAAUAGCGAUAGAAAAAUAAUUUAUUACGCAACCGAAACUUACCUACCAAAAGAAAAUCUAAAAGACAACUUGCGUAAUUUACCCUCAUCCAAAUACACACAUUUCAUUGGUAAUUAAGUAGACAAAAAGGGCAGGAUGUGGCUGCAUUUACCAACAGUUAGCAAGAAAAUUCAAAUAAUUUUUUUUCUAUUUUUAUUUCUAACAUAAAUAUAAAACAAGUAAAUUGCAAAAUAUAUGAAUCUAGUAAAUUGCAAACGUGUAAAUCGUUAAAUAAAUAAAUAAAUAACCGUAAGAAUAAAUUGCAAAUAUGUAAAUUGUAAAAGAUAAAUAAAAUUUCAACUCGAGACCUGUGCAAGCACAGUUUCCUUAAAACAGAUUUGCCCCCUCACCGUAAGUGCUUGAUGUCUAAUCCGAGCGUUUGUUUCCUAGGAUAUAAUAGUAAAACCUGUAUAAUCUGAGUACCACAGAUACUACUCCGACGAACUGACUAGUAUCCGAACAAUAUCACCAUAGUGACGACGCUAAACAGAAAUCGAGAUGUUGACAGAAAAAAUUGCAAAAUGUUUUUCUCCUAUUUUCGUGUUUGUUUCUGUAUGUGCUGGAUUUGCCGAAAAAAUGACCUUUCAUAUAAGUUUAAAUCUGCCUAUUAACUCCAUAGUAAUAAAUACUGGAGUUGCUUCAAUUUCUGAGAGUUUUGGCAGUUUCAGGAAAUUUAAAGGUCAAUUGAAAAAGGCAAAAAAUUGCAAAAUGUGGACAAUCCAAACGGGCCAAUUUUUGCUCUGUUUUGUUCGACAUUCGUGUACGUAGGUCACGUCUGUACACAAGUUCAAGGUCCGAAAGCAAUUUCGAUAUAUGAUUUACACCCCCCUGCGCGUACACGUGGAGAGAGUCUCUAUGCAACAUAUGAUUACACCAUUCCAAUGUGUAAUCCUAUACAAAGUAGUUAAUACUUUCUUCAUUUUCGUAUGUGGGACUAGACUCAUUUUUCCCACAUAAACCAUCUUUCAAUGGUCAUCUUUGAGCUCCAAUUUCUCAUUCACCCAAACUUCAUUUUUGGCAAAUAAAUAUAUGAUUUUGAUACUCUCACGGAGGAGAACACGAAUCAACUUUGAUAUUCCAAAUUGGACCAACGGAUCCCACCGAAAAUUUUGCCAAAAUUGAGCCAUUUACUCAUUUUUUCAACAAAUAUGAGUUUCUAAAAGAUGAAGAUCGAAAACUUAUAAUGGCCUUGCAUGUGUAGUUGAAUUUUCUCUUACACAUGAACAAUUUUUUUUUUUGAUCGGUACACAUGUACAAUUUUUUUCAUAGUAAGAGUGCAGCAAGACUCCAGAAUCCAACAUAGAUAUUUUUUUUUCUUUUGUGGGGAAACUUAAGAUUUUUCUUAUAUUUUAACAAUAUAUUCUCCAAAAAAUCAUUAUUCAAAAUAUUAUUUUUACACAAUAAUGACCAUCAAGCCAAAUAUUUGGUGAAAAACAAAUAAAAUGGGAAGUACAAUUUUUUUGAUCGGUACACAUGUACAAUUUUUUUCAUAGUAAGAGUGCAGCAAGACUCCAGAAUCCAACAUAGAUAUUUUUUUUUCUUUUGUGGGGAAACUUAAGAUUUUUCUUAUAUUUUAACAAUAUAUUCUCCAAAAAAUCAUUAUUCAAAAUAUUAUUUUUACACAAUAAUGACCAUCAAGCCAAAUAUUUGGUGAAAAACAAAUAAAAUGGGAAGUACAAACUGAUGUCCACAAUGCACAAUGAACUCGUUCUGAAAUGAUCCAGCUUUGGGGAAAAAUGAAAAAAGAAGAGAGAGAGAGAGAUGGGGGUGGGGGUGGGCGUGGGCGUGGGCGUGGGCGUGGGGAUGGGGAUGGGGCCUGGGGGAGUGUUAAACGACGUCGCAUGUGCAAUUAUUGCUUUCAGCAAUGCUUUUCUAUGUGUAAAACCAAAGACGGCAGAAAAAUAUUGUAAGGAUAUGUUUAUUUACUUUAUUCUUCAUGAAAAAUAUGUUAUUUUUUCAUGGAAGUUCGUGAUUUUAAUAUGUUUGAUUGACAUUUUUUUCAUAAAAAAUAUUUUUUAAAAGUUGGUUAUCUGAUCAUAUUUUUCUCAAAAAUAAGGAAAAUAUUUUAUUUGGGGAAGCUAGGUAAAACAUUUUCCAUGCAAUUCAUACUUUCUACAAACUCUCUCUCUCUCUCUCUCACUCUCUCAUCUACACACAAACAAAGAUGAAAAAGUAUAAUAUAUUUUUAAUCGAGAUUUAAGUCAAUCAAAUACAUUUAACUAAAGGUUUCAUCGAUCUAGAUUGAGUAAGCUCACGGCUCGUGCGCAGUCCAAUAAAAAAAAACUCAAGCUUUUUUAAGCCCAAACCAAGCAAAAGUUGACCAUAAUUUGGAGGCUUGAAUCGGGCUUUUGGCUUAGGCUUUAUCAAGCCAGGCCAACUCAAUAAUUUUUUAUUAUUUUUUUAAAAUUCAUGAAAUAUUCACAUAAAAAAGUCAAGUUUAAGUUUUUCUUCUAAACUAAAAUACAAUAAAAAUUUAAUCAUAUAAAUACAAUAAUAUAUGAAUUAGAGUACAAUUUUAAAAUAUAUAAAUAUCCUAAUAUUCGUUUGUAAAAUUAGAAAUAUUAACAAGUAAUAUUAUAUUAACUCAUAUACAGUAAAAUUUUAAAUUUAUAUGAAUAAAAUAUAAUGGAAUAUUAAUGAAUAUGAUAAGAAAUUAAAAUAUAGAUAAUUGUAACAUAAUUAUGAAUAUUAAUUAUGUAAGCAUAUUUAUAUAUAAAUCAUAUUUUAUUGAUUUAAAUCUUAAAUUAAAUAUUAAUAAAACAAAAAAGUUGAAAGUUGGCAUCAAAUCGGGUUGGGCCAAUGACACGGGCCAUUUUCAUGAGCUAGCCCAUACAGCUUGACGAGCCACAUGGGCCGGCCCAGCUCGAGCCGAGUCCCAAAUUUUGGGCUUAGCCCGAGCCUUGGCUUGAUUCUAUCAAACCCCAGGCCGAGCCAGUUCGAGCAGCCUGAGCCAUAUGCAUCAGUAAAUGCAAAGCAUGGCAUCCCCAAUCGAAAAGUUACAAAUGUGAGUUACUUUCUACCAAUAAAGAUACAGACGAUAAUGAUAUAGAAUAUUAAUAUUUUGAAGAUUGCAGUUCUGUAUCUUUUGUAGCUUGAAUUUUCUCAGGAAAAAAAGACAAAAGUGCAAUAAAUAGGAUCAAUUCCAGCAAGCCUUUCAGAACAUAUUAUUAUGUUUAUAGACAUGCACUUCUAUGUAGCAAAAAAAUAAAAAAUUAAAACAACGAGACGCCGUUCUGCAACUAUUUUUCUCCCUCUUAGUAAAAAGAUAGAAUACAAUUGAAGUAGGUCCUAAUACUUUAAAACCAUGGCGACUAAGCAAUGACACUCUAGUUUCAGAAGCACAAUGUAUUCAUAAACUCGGGUCUGGACUCGUUUUAUCUCUCAUAUACAAAUAAAGAGAGAGAGAGAGAGAGAGUUAAAAGUGUUAUUUGUAAUACAAUAGGCAUAGCCAAUGACAUCUGAAAUUCAACCCACAGGAUAAUGAAAGACUGACCAAAGUUUUCUGCAAGCUCCAUGUCAAGUUAUAGAAUGAAUAAUACAAAAGAAAACUGUCAUUAAUGUUGGCUUCAGCUUCUUCCCUGUCUUCCAUGUUAAAUUACUUGACAUAAAGAAAGACAGAGAAAAAGGGUAAUAGGAUACUUAUACAGCAACUGCAAAUAAACAAAGUUCGAGGCUCUGACAAUAAAAUAGCCGUGCAGGAGGCUUCAGCAAAAUGUGGAUGCAUCAGUAGUUUCGCCAUGUUAGCUUAGGGUCCAGAUAGCUGGAUUCACAAAGAAGCCCCAAGUACCAUUAUAAAGAAGGAUCAGCACGAAACAAGUAAUUUGAAAUUAUCAUCCAGAUAAUCUGUCAGAGAAAAUAGCAAUAACUUAUACUGACACAACAGCAUUAUUCUCAUACACAUGUCAAGGCAUUUAAGUGUGUGCAUAGACUCACACAUGCAUACACAUUCAAUGUCAGGGAUGAGCAUAAAAGUGAAUAUCAUUUUUGCUCAAAAUAACGCAAAGGGAUUUGAUAAAAUUAUACGACUUUAGUAACCUAAUUGAAAAACAUACAAGUUAGAGUGCCAACCUUAUUCCAGAAAAUAAAAAAAGAAAGAAAAUGUCAACUUUGUGAGGUUCCUCUCAGUUUCCCCACAGCUAUAAACUCCAAUAUCCUUUCCUUGACAGCAGUUAAUCCCUAAUUGUUUUCAUCAAGAAUCUUAUGAGCACCUACAACAUUGUUGUCUAUCGUUUCUUUUCUACUGGAUGAGUGAACCCCACCUACCUGUGCUGGAUUGCUUGGGUUAGAGGAUGUUUCGCUAAGAUUUUGAGUCCUUUCAACUCCACCUACCUAUGCUGGAUAGCUAUGUAUUCGGGGAUGUUUGACUAAGCUUGCUGUCAAUAUACUAAUGACCUGUCACGUAUACAAUAGUCCCACUAGGCAUUAUCUCCUGUUGGAAUAAGUGUUGAAAACUAGUUGAAAUACAUAUUAUGCCUGGUGCUGCAUUUUCACGGGUCACGAAGUAUGGUUGUUAUUGGUCACUGCUUUAGAGGGGUUAUUGUCUUUCCUGCAUCAUCAAUUACUAAACUUGGAUUUUGUGUUGCAGUAACGAUGGUAAGCACUUGCACAUGUUACAUUUGGACUGAAAAGGACGAAGACAACAAGAGGAUCUAAGGGAAUCAAGCGUAAAGGGAGAGUUUUGAGAAGCAUAAAAGCUCUCUAAAGACAAUUAUAUCCUUCAACAACUAUCAUUGAGUUCUUUCAGUUUGUAAAACAGUUACCGCCUGAUUUUUAAUUUUUACAUGCACAUUCCAAAUUAGGUAUAUUUGCAAUUUCCAGAAAUUCUAGGUUAUAUUCUUUAAAGACCAAGUCAUUACUUUUCUAAUACAAAGCAUUAAGACCAGUUUUGCAGGUGAUCAACAAGUUUACCUAUAAGAGUUCAGAGUCCAACUAGUCUAGAAUAUCUCAAGUCUGUAUGAAGCAUUAUGAUGAUUCUAAAUAAAAAUUGGAAGUUGAUUGUUCGGGUGGAUUUGCUUGAACCUUUGCAAGGCAAAGCACGUUCUUCUCAUCUGCAAUUCUCACGAUUCCACAUUUUCUGUACCUAGGUCAAUACCUGUUCUCAUCUUCUCUUCUCUUCUUAUCUGCAAUUCUCGUGAUUCCACACUUUCUAUAUCUAUGUCAAUACCUCUUCUCAUCUUCUGUUAUCAUCUGCAAUUCUUGUGAUUCCACAUUUUCUGUACCUAUCUCAAUACCGGUACUUAUCUUCUCUUCUCAUCUGCAUUUCUCAUGAUUCCACAUUUUCUGUACCUAUGUCAAUACCUGUUUCCCCUUUUCUUUUUAAAAAAAAUAAAAAAUGAUAAUAAUAAUAAAAAAUAAACCCUUGGGCCGUCGACAGCCAAGAAAUACCAGAACUUUUCAACAUCAUUAUCCAACUUUUUACAAUUCAAGGGAUAAAUCGCUCCACGCAAGAAAGCUUCAGAAGCUUCCAGGGGUUUGCCCAGCCUUGCGACAAAUUAAGCAUGAAAGUUUUUGCUUAGAUCACAGGAAAACUAUUUACAUUCAGGUAAAAUAGCAUUUGGGCGAAAAGAUUGGUACCAUCAAUAUGAUAAAAAGGUCACUAUAUUAAAGAGUUAAAAAACAUCUAAAAUCUAGUUUCUCAACUAUAUCCCAUGAACAACAAUAAUAGAUUCAAAAACUUAACGAGAACAUCUCGAUAGAUUCUUUAUUUUUAACAAGCAUUUUUGUACAUAAUAAAGAGCAUCUUUAAAUUGUAAAAUUUUCAGCAAACUCCAAUAAGCUGUUUAUUUUUGCUCUUUAUUUUACAUUUUCCAACAAUCAUUCAUUUUUUCUCUCCCAGUUUUCACUAAACAUAUAUUCUUAAAUUUCAAUAACCUGAAUAUUCAAAGAUAAAUUAAAUUAUUUAUUUAUUUAAGUAAUGGACUUGGAAACUUGCAAUUUAUUAAAUGUAGUCAUUAUACAAUACAAAUUGAGAGUUAGUUUGACUCCCCCAAAUGUAGAGAGCCUCACUCACUCACUCACUCACUAUUCAAAAAAGUUAAAAUGAAGAGCUUAUUGGAACCCAAUUUCAAGAUUUGGCUCUCUAAAUUAGAAAGCAUCUUAUGUUUAAUGAGUUUAUUGAAGAUGCUUUGAGAAUGCAUCAUAAGAUUCAACACUGACUCAAAAUUUUAGAUGCAAUGGGAGAGGAACAGAAGAAAGGUGCCAAAUAAUGAAAUGUGGACUGUAUUAUGAAUCUGAGAUGAUAAAAACUGCAGACCUGUAUUCACCCCAAGGCAAUGCAGUAAACCAAUCAAGAUAAUUACGUGUCACAUUAAAUUCACUCGAACUAGAUUCCAAUAAUUGCAAAUUUAUCAAUUCUUCUUCUAUGACUUGCAAAACGUGAGGUGCGAGUUUAUCCUUCUUUGGGUAAAGCCUUUCCCUGAACAUUGCAGCAGUAUUUCAGAAACCAAUGCCAAUGAACAAGUUGUCAUCAAUUUAUAAAUAAGAUCCUUGUUUGUGGAGUAAAAGCAGUAAAAAGGCAAAAAUCACUUGAAACUAAAAAGCACAGAUCAAGAUUAGCAACAAAUUUCAACUUAACACAGAUUUUUGGGGAAAAAAAUGACUUUUAUUAUAGUAACCUUUGGAGAAUGUAUGGUUAAAAAAAAAGGAGUAAAAUUAUUUUACUCGGAGAAUGUGCCAUCGAAAAAUGAAUUUGGGAGAAAAAUGAAUUUUUAGAUAAUGGGGUUCAAACGAAGGCAUAAGUUCAUACCUAUCUUCAGCGAGAAAAUAUUAGUCAUGGAUUAAUCAAGAGAAAAAAUUAAUAAUUGACACCGAUUUAAAGCAGAUUUUUAGCAGUAAAGAAAAAUAACAAACUGAUUUUUAAAGCAGAGAUUAUGUUGCUAAUCUUCUCGUACCAGUUACUAGAAAAAAAUUUAUGUUCACAACCUUCUUCUAGCCUAAUGUGUUACAACCCAAUUUUUCUUAGUCAAAAACCAAAAAUUAACUAGUAACAAAGUCAAUUAAGGACUAAAAUAAAAUAAGAUAUUUUAAUGGGGUUUAUUUUAUAAUUGGCAAUAUAUGAGGGUUAAAUUGGAUUCAAUUUAAAGCUUGGAAUUUACUUUUAUAUUAAGGGAAGCUAGAAGGAUUAAAUUUUAUAUUAAAUGGAGUUGAAGGACCUCCCUUGCAAUUUUUAGUUAGUGGGUCUUUAUAUACCUUUGACCCAUUAUUUUUUCUCUCCAAACACACACACACACACACACUAGAGAAAACGUUUUCUGGGUCGAGAAAGACCGAGAGGAAAAGAGAAGGAAAGAAAGAGAGAAAAAUGAAGGGAAGAAGAAGAAGAAGAAGAGUUCAAGCUAGGGUUCUCAACUUCUUCAAUUUCUCUUUUGAUUUAGAAUGGUAAGUAUUAAGUAUAUUGAAUUAAUUUUUUUUAAGGGUUAUGAGAAAUUUGCUUUAAUUCAAAGUUUGGCAAGAAUCAUGUGUUAUUGAUAUGUAUUUGAUGUUAUAAAUAAGGAUAUAGCAAAGAAAUAUUUAUUUGGAUGUUGAUGUUGAAGAAAGCGGAAACUUUGGAAAUGGGUUUGUGAGAUAAAUGCAUAUUCUUUGAAAUUAUUGUGAUUAUAUGAUGCUAAACACUUAAAUUAAGGAUUUGAGUUUGAAAUUCUCCAAAUUUUCAGCCAUUUUCGAGCUAUUGUACUAUAGGUGCUAUUUUUGAAAAUCUGCCCGUAUAAGCACUAUUUCUGUCCAUGCUAUUAUGGGCUCAUUAUAUAGUUGGUAUCUUUAGUAUAUUUGAUUAUUGUUGAGUGUAAAGCAAGUAAAUGUCGAUUUACCAACAUUUUAUUUGAAUAGUUUGCAUUUUGAGGGACUAUCUUAUCCUAUUCAUAUUAUAGGUAUUAAUUUGAAGAAAAUUGAUUAUUGUUCAGGUGAUUUUAGUUUAUAUUUCAGGGAAAACUCUGUCAAAAUUUUGUUAAAAUAUUUCCCAAUCAAAUAAGUCAAGAUUGCCUUGGUGGUGGGUCUAGCGUUCAGCUGGUAACUAUCAUCGGCGCACGACAAGUGUCGAGUCCACUAAGAUGAUUCGGGACGGGUCAUGUCAUAAUGUGAAAUGCACACACACACAAUCCAUGUAUAAACAUAUACAAAUCACUAAUAUAAUAUCACACAUGUUCAUCUCAGCCUAUAAAAUUCCAUCAAGGCAUAUUCGGACAGAUUCCAACCAAAGAAAAGAAGGGUGGUAAAGGAGUAAAAACCAGAGAAACUCAAAGAGAUUUCUUAAUCUUUUAAUUGCAUUCUCUGUGCCACUUGAAAUUCCUUUAUUAUCCAACGUAAAGCAACGGGUGCAAGUCCGACAGUACGCACCCAUCAUGCGACAAUCUGUUUUAGCAAAUGUGUCUGUCUUCUUGCACAUCAAGCAUCUGUGUUCAAGUUAUGAGCAUAGUAUCUUCAAACAUUAUUAUACAUCUGUCCCUUCCCAAGACAAAACAAGGGAACAAGCAAAUCACAAGUGAAAAAUCAUUGAUAACAUAUCAAAUGACAUUGCCAUUCAUCAUAUUCGCAAUAUACCAAAAACAUUAUUAUCAGAAUCAUGCCUAACGUCAGCUGGACCAUUUUUCAGCCUGGCAGCCUUUUCCCUAGAUGCUGAUAGUUAUUUUUAAAGUGUAUGCUGACAUGUUAAUGCCACAAGACCAGAUAAAAAAUGGUAGCAAAUGCCCAAAAAAAAGGCCCGUUUAGUACAUUAUUGUCUAAAGAAAAGAAAAAAUUAGGUACAAAGAAAGAGAAGUAGGCAUCAUAUUGGAAUUGAGAUGACUUGUAUUUCUAGUGAAUCAUCAUUUAGCUAACAGGGAUGCAGCGGAACACCUUUCAAGACUAAAAAGGGACUUGCGAACUAACAUGACAUUUGCCAUAAAAACCUAACUAAAAUGAAAAAAAAAAAUAGUCCAAAUUCAAAAUAAAAAUUUCUGGUAUAAUAAUUCACAUAAAAUAUCUCUUGCUUUAUUCAAUAAUAAUAAUAAUAAAUAAAUAAAGACAGGAAAAAUAAAAGUUCUAUUUUCUUCAAUUUUGGCCUCGAAGCUGAAACCAUUCUGUGUUUAAGAAAAAUAGGUAUUUAAACAUAGGUAUAUUCCUAUCACCAUAGAUUCUAAAAGGAGAAAACAGAACAAUAGAUAGUUACGAAAGGCUCGAUAUUAUGCACCCAACAAUUGUAAAUCAUGAGGCAUCCAACUAGACAUCAUGAAUUAGUACUGCCAAGCACUCAGUAGGUUCAAAUGUUUGAGGUAUAAUGCAAGUACUAACACAGCUCUUGCAUCACAACAAAGCAACAAAGAUACAAGGCAGAACACCAACUGUAAGUUAUGCAGAAGAAGGCAUACCAAAAACAGUGGUUUUGUCGUCAGUCUCUAAUCCUAAUUCCUGCACAAUGCAAAUAAAUUUGUUAUUAGAUAAUUCCCAAAUCAUCUCAUGACAUCUAAACUAUUCAAACAGACAUACAGCAAGAACAGAGUCUUCAAUAACUCUUAGAAAAUGUAUAUUAUAAAGUAAGCAAAUCAUAAUGCUAAAGUAACAUGCUUUCUUUAUGACCUUCAGUUGCCAUUCAACAAGUAUCGUCGCUGCUCUCCACUUUUCUUCAAUUGCCUUUGCUAUUGAUUCCUAAGUACUGCCAAAAAGUAGUGAAGAUUAAAUGAAUAGGGAACAGCAAUUGAGAGUGCCAGAAUUGAUCUCUAGUCCAGACAGAUAUACCUGGAUCUUACUAAUCUCCAUCUCCUCCUUCACUAACUCCAGAGUAAGUUUUAGUCGAUGAUGAACUUGAAUUUCAAGAUCGUGACGAGCAUCAGAAAUAUGGAAGGUAGAAACUUUGACGGGGAUAAUACAGUCUUAUUACAAGAAAGCAACAACCCCUUAGCUCCAGGCCCAAAGUGUGGGGACAAAAUGAAUGUCCUUAUUGUCCUAUUGUCAAAUAUUAUCGAAGAAUGAAAUAAAACAUCUUUGUCCGGAGCACCUUGAACAAGCAACUCAAGAUAAAAUAAUAACUAAUUCCAUAACAGGGCAAAAUUUAUAUUGUAGCUUUCCUUUAUAUGGUACAAAAUUUUCUAGCUUUCUACCAUUUCAAAUUAGGAAAUUCAUCAAGGGGCAAGGGAUAAGGGAUGCAUUUAAGUUGAUAACAAAUCUCAAAAAAUAGAUUAUUUAAUCUUGUAGCGAUUCCGAGAUCUUAUAAGACUACGAGAUGCUGAAAACCCACAGGUGGGUGAUGCUAAGACCAAAAGUUACAAUGUUACUCUUCUAGGUAGAAUUGGAGGCAGAUUCUAGAAAAACUAGAAGCUUCAUUCUCAGAAAAAUGUUGUCGAUAAGGCUGUAGACUACUUACAUCUAGUUCUUCAAGAACUUGCUGGCACUGUGAUUUGUUUGCGCCUGAUAUUGCAGCUCCAAAAUUUGCUAAUCUUGGAUAAAAUCACAUAUAUGCUGCAGAUAUUGAGAAGUGAAGAGGUAGCAUAGAUACUACAUGUAGACAAAACCAAUUGAAAAACUUCAACUUAAUUGUGAUAUUGUCAUGUUCAAUUUAGGCGAUAGAUUCCUUUGUUAAGUAAAAGUACAACAUUCUUGUGAUAAAAGGGAUGUUACACUGUCCUUCCAAAGUACAAAAAAUGCAAUUAUUUAUGCAUGAAAUUAGUGAAUCAAAUAUCUUAAAAUAAAAAAAUCUUUCAUGAGCACAAUCAUGGACUAUCUUUCGAACAGCAGUUAGUAUCAUACAUGACCUCAGACCUCAUAAACAGCAAAAGAAAGGAAUCAAAUAGUUGAUAAGAAUAAUUUGCAAAUAUAUAAUAGGAAAAGCAUGGAAAUAUUCUUCUUGAGGUGUAUAAAUAAGUAGAAAAAAUAUUUGUGAGGUAAUUAAAGGAGAUGAAAAUAUAAAGAAACGAGCAGAACUUUAUACCUACAAAAAUCAUGAAUGAAGAAAGAGUCAUACAAACCAUCUCUGUCAUUCGAAGUCGCCUGUGACCAAUAAGAACCACCUGAUCUCCUUGGAUGCUUGUAAUCUAAAAUCAUUAAGCCAGCUUGAUGAAUCAAAGAAGUUUUUUACCACAGAUAUAUAACUUCAACAAUAACUUAACGAAACUAAACGAAAGAGAAUUACCCGAGCUAGCGUACCACCUUCAUGGAGGCGAUUAAAUAACUCUUUUCCUUUGAGAUCGUAUAUAUUUUCCUCAUCUAUACCAUCAGUUACUGCCUCAUCUUUAAGUAGGAAAGCACCAGCAUAAGGGCCUUGCGGUUUUCUACUCUCUACUAAAGCUUCUAGCAAUCCUACAGAAAAAUGGUAUGUACAAGAAGGGUCACAGACCAGCUCACUAGUUACUAAGAAUAUUAGUAGAGUUUAUUUUACCUUCAUCUUAUAUAAGAUAUAAAAACACCAUUUAGGAAAAAAAAGGCUUUCAAUUUUUCACCACUUCUUUCUUGUAUCAAAAGAAAUUCUAUAAUUUAGACAAGCACUAUUUGUAAAAAGCUAAAGUAAGCAGAUAGGAUAUAAAAGACAAAUUACAGAGAGCAAGCCAUGUUGCUUGAACUCGGGUGUGGGUGUCCGAUGCAUAUCUAGGAGUCAGAUUUUUUCUCUCUAAAAUCUAGGAUACGAAAUAGAGCUAAAAAAAUUCAAAAUUUAGACAUGAGCAUGUGGAUAUGUCUUAUAUUGCAUAUUUAACCGUAAAUCUAAAAUAAAUUAAAUUGCAAGUUGUGAUACUUCUUUUGAAAUUUCAUUUCAAGUCUAGAAAUGUAAAAUACAAACUAGAAAUCUUUAUAAAUACAAUACCAAAUUAACAAAAAUGAUAUAAAGGACACUCUUUUGCUUUAAAGGAUCCGAGAAGGAUCCCUUGUCAUGUGUGUCCAAUAUAGGCAAUUCCUCUCAAAUGGAGAGUCCAAAUAAGCGUGUUCAGAAUUUAAUGACAAAAAAAUCAUAGCAUGAUUACAUAAAGAAUGGUGCACACAAGGUAUCCCUUGAAAUACUAUGAAAUUAUAUAUUAGUAAAUUAUCAGUACAUCCAUCAGAACUUGAACUUACAAGAAUUGUGCACACCAGGUAUCCCUUGAAAUACUAUGAAAUUAUAUAUUAGUAAAUUAUCAGUACAUCCAUCAGAAUCUGAACUUACAAGAAUUGCCUUGUAAAUCUGAUGCUAGUUAAUCAAUAAAGUUAUGGCACAGAGAAGUAAUAUUGAAUACGAGAUGUUAAAAACAAAAUAUCAAAUGAAGUACUCAACCAUAAGUAGCCAUACCUUCACAUAAAUAGGCACAUAAAAUCCAGGAAUAAUGGUCUAUGUGGCAGAGGUAAUGCUAUAACCUGCACAAGUAAAAGAAAUCUCGAUUAUUAAAUAUCUUUAAAAAUAAGAUGGAACAACAAAUACCAACUAAUCUCUUAACAUAAUCUAAUGAUUUUCAUCCUUUCUAAUAUAUAAUUCAAUAACAGAAAAUCUGAUACAAAUGAAGAUAUUUGCUUCUUGUUUGGGACCCCGCAGCAUUUUGAUAAGCCUCCCAUACGGGUCACUUAUCAACGACGUCACAAGAAGAGCAUGAAAAGAAGUUAGAAGGAAUAUUAGUUGUUAGAUCUAUUAAGUCAUGUGGUUACGAGUCUAUAAAUAGUGUAGGCAAAGGCUGAAAUAGGCAUUCAAAAAAGAGGGAAAAUCUGAAUCACUUAGGAGAGUGGCAGCUCUCGAAACCAGCCUUGUUAUUUUCUUAAUCCAUUCCUUGUUCAAUUUCAUUCAGUUAAAUAAAAUUCUUAUUCUAAUUCUGAUUGUGUGUUUGAUCAGUCCAGAGUUUCGUUGUAAUUGGGCCAGUUAUUCAUCGGGUUGUCAGCAGGUUCUAACAUUUUGGUAUUAGAGCACUUGAGAUUCUGGGAAAUGAAUGCCGGUUACAAGGAUGGACCAUCGAAUUGAAGCAUUAGAGGAUGCGGUAGAACAGAUUCCACCAUUGGGUAAUUCCAUGGUUGAAUUGAAAGGAGACUUGGAGCACUUGAACGCAAGGCUGGGGAUGGAGCUGGGCAAAUUGAAUGAUAAGAUCGAAGCAAGUCUAGCAAUGAGCCGGAAGGAAUUAAACGAGGACCUUCAGAUAUCGGCGAAGGGGAUACCACAGGAAUCCACCAGCGUGACUGAAGCAGGUAGUGAAAUGAAGUCUACUGCCUCUAUCACUAAAAUUACCGGAUCGGAACCCAGAGCCACUGAGAAUACAAUCGUUUCUGUUGCUGAAGAUAACUUUCGAAAACUGGAGCUACCGCUAUUUAAUGGGGUCGAUCCGGACUCCUGGAUAUUCCGCGCUGAGAGGUAUUUCAGCAUAAACAAGUUAUCGGACACCGAGAAGGUGAUGGCAGCUGGGGUGUGUAUGUAAGGAAGUGCCCUAUCCUGGUUUCAAUGGGAAGAUGGAAGGCGGCCUAUACGCAGUUGGGUGGAGCUUAAACAGAGGCUAUUAGAGAGGUUCCGUGAUACCCAGUAUGGAACCCCACACCAACGGUUCCUUAUGAUCAGACAGACAGGAACUGUUGCAGAGUAUAGGGAAAAGUUUGAAGUAAUGUUUGCUCCCCUGAUGAAUGUAAGUGAGGACACACUAGAAGGAGUCUUCAUUAAUGGGCUGGAAGAAGAAGUGCAGGCAGAAGUAUUGAUGGUGAGACCGGCAGGACUUUCACAAAUCAUAGAUAUGGCACAACGAGUGGAGGGUAGGAACAAUUGGAUCAACAAGGCGAAGGAGCGAGAACGCCCACAAAUUCGGGGUGUAACUGCUCUGAUUCCAACUAGGGCUGAAAAUCGGACAAUUCCUUGGGGCUUGAGUAAGGGAACCAUUGUACAGGACAAAGGUGGAGGAAUGGGUUCAGGAAGCUCUACUGUAGGGUUCAAAAGACUAACCCAGGUUGAGAUUCAAGCAAAAAAGGACAAGGGCUUAUGUUCUCGAUGCGACGAAAAGUUUCAUGUUGGGCAUAAGUGUUGCAAUAGGAAACUACAAGUGCUGUUGGUGGAUGAAGAGGAGCAAAACGGGGCAGGAGGGGAGUGUUACCUCUCCUAAGACUAUGAAGGUGAGAGGAACGAUGGAAGGGUAGGAUGUAGUUGUACUAAUUGAUUCCGGGGUUACGCACAACUUCAUGUCAUGGGAAUUAAUUAAGAAACUCAAUCUGUCAAUAACGGAGACCAGUAGAUAUAGGGUACAAGUGGGAACUGGUAUGGCAAUUAAAGGAGAAGGGAAAUGUAGGGGAGUGGCAUUAUACAUGCAGUCCAUAUUAGUGGUGGAGGAUUACUUACCGAUAGACCUGGGAAGCUCGGACAUAAUACUUGGAAUGCAGUAGCUUAGCACCUUGGGCAAGGGUUCAAGUUAACUGGAAGUCAUUGGAGAUGAGAAUUCCUCUGGGAAAUAGCACUAUCACUCUGAAAGGAGAAGGGUUGAGCAAAUCAUUGGUCUCACUAAAAUCAAUGAUCAAAACCUUACAUAAGGAGAGAGAAGGGAUUGUAAUGGAGCUGUGCUCGGUUCAAGUGGAUGAGCAACCUGUUGAAUUGGAUAUUCCACUGCCGGUGCAGGAGUUGAUAGUGAAGUAUAGGGCGGUAUUUGAAUCACCAGUAGGGUUGCCUCCUCUCAGAGGUCAUGAGCAUGCAAUCACUCUGAAGGAAGGAAGUGAACCCAUUAGUGUAAGACGCUACAGAUACCCCUAUGCACAAAAGGCUGAGAUUGAGAAACUAGUAACUCAAAUGCUGAAGGCAGGAAUAAUUCAAGCAAGUAGUAGUCCUUUUUCUAGUCCGAUACUGUUAGUGAAGAAAAAGGAUGGGGAUGGAGAUUUUGUGUAGAUUAUCGGGCCUUAAAUCGAGCUACCAUACCUGAUCGCUUCCCAAUUUCGGUUAUUGACGAGUUGUUAGAUGAACUCAUGGCACCACCAUCUUUUCCAAACUGGAUUUGAAAUUAGGGUAUCAUCAAAUACACCUUAAGGCUGGAGAUGAAUACAAAUCUGCCUUUCGAACUCACGAGGGGCAUUACGAAUUUUUCGUAAUGUCGUUUGGGCUUACUAAUGCCCCAGCAACAUUCCAAUCUUUGAUGAAUAAACUAUUCAAGGGGCUACUAAGGAAAUGUGUAUUAGUUUUCUUUAAUGACAUCCUAGUCUACAGUCGGCACAUUGGAGGAACAUUGUGAACAUUUAAGGAUGGUAUUUGAUGUCUUACAGGAGCGGCAAUUGUAUGCAAAUCGAAAGAAAUGUGAGUUUGGAUGCACUACCUUGGAAUACAUGGGGCACUUAAUUAGGUCGCAAGGAGUGUCAGCUAACCAAAAGAAAAUUCAGGUCAUGCAGUCACGGCCGUUACCCAAGGACCUGAAAGAAUUAAGGGGGUUCUUGGGGUUAACGGGAUAUUACCGAAGAUUUGUGGAAGGAUAUGGACAAAUAGUUGAACCACUCACCAGACAUCUGAACAAAGAUAGCUUCCACUAGGAUCAAGAAGCUAAUAUAGCCUUUCAGAAGUUGAAGAAUGCCAUCACAGAAGUUCCAGUUUUGGCACUGCCCAAUUUUCCUAGGCGGCCACUCAGGGGUACUAAAGUCAUAUAAAAGGUUGUCCAAGGAGCUAUUUUGGACAGGGAUGAAAAAAGAUAUUCAGAAAUUCGUAGAGGCCUACUUGGUUUGCCAGCAAAACAAAUAUUUAGCUGUCACCAGCUGGGCUAUUACAACCUUUACCUAUACCAGAAGCAAUAUGGGAGGACAUAACUAUGGAUUUUAUAAAAGGAUUGCCGAAGUCUCGAGGUUGGGACACAGUGUUGGUUGUGGUGGAUAGGUUGAGUAAAUAUGCUCAUUUUUUGACAUUGAAGCAUCCUUUUACUGCUAAGACGGUAGCCGAAUCAUUUAUUCGAGGAGUGGUUAGACUUCAUGGAUUUUUCCACUCAAUAGUAACGGACAGGGAAAAGGUUUUUCUCAGUUUGCCUGGUCCAAACUUUUUGUCUCCAAGGUACUAAACUGAAUCGAAGCACGGCCUAUCACCCCCAAACUGAUUCCGGUCAAUCAUUGUUUGGAGACCUACCUAAGAUGCUUCGCUAACAGCCAUCCCCGUUCAUGGUCUGAUUGGAUUCCUUAGGCAGAGUUCUAGUAUAACUCCUCGUUUCACACAUCCACUAAAACUACUCCGUUUAAGGCUGUUUAUGGGAGGGAUUCUCCUUCUGUCAUACGUUAUAGAUCACAACACACACCUUUGGCUGAUCUUGACCGAAAAUUACAACAACGUGAUGAGAUGAUUGGCAUCUUGAAGUCCCAACUAGAAAGGGCUCAUUCCAGAAUGAAGAAGGUAGCAGAUAGUGGGAGAAGAGCAGUUCAAUUUCAAGAAGGCGAUUUGGUUUAUCUGAAACUCCAGCCAUACAGGCAGAAGUCCUUGGCUAAACGUGCUAAUGAAAAAUUAUCUCCAGAUUCUUUGGUCCUUAUACCGUCAUCCAGAAGGUAGGGGCAGUGGCUUACAAACUCCAACUACCAGCAGAGUCCAAUAUACAUCCGGUGUACCAUGUCUACAGUUGAGGAAGGCAGUGGCCUCUACUACCUCAGUCUAACCCCUUCCCGCACUUCUCAAUCCAGAAUUAGAGUGGAAGGCACAACCAGCAAAAGUGUUGGGGAUUAGGCCAGCAAGUGAGCUGGGUAAUGAAAUGCCAGAAGUACCGAUUCAAUGGCAGGACCUUCCCCCUUUUGAAGCAUCAUGGAAACCCUUUGAGCUCAACAACUCUCAAUUUUCGGAAUUCCACCUUGGGGACGAGGUGCUUGCUUUAGCGGGGGGUAUUGAUAAGCCUCCCAUAUAGGUCAAUUAUCAACGACGUCACAAGAAGAGCAUGGAAGGAAGUUAGAAGGAAUAUUAGUUGUUAGAUCUGUUGAGUCAUGUGGUUACGAGUCUAUAAAUAGUGUAGGCAAAGGCUGAAAUAGGCAUUCAGAAAAGAGGGAAAAUCUGAAUCACUUAGGAGAGGGACAGCUCUCGAAACCUGCCUUGUUAUUUUCUUAAUCCAUUCCUUGUUCAAUUUCAUUCAGUUAAAUAAAAUUCUUAUUCUAAUCCCGAUUGUGUGUGUGAUCAAAUAUCUUAAAACAAAAAAUCUUUCAUGAGCAUGAUCAUGGCCUAUCUUUAAAAAGGAUUCGCAGUUAGUAUCAUAUAUGACCUCAGAUCUCAUAACACAGCAAAAGAAAGGAAUUAAAUAGUUGAUAAUCAGUUAUGUGCAUUCAGGCAUACAAGUGCAUUUUAGGCAUGUACACCAAAAAGUUCAAUUGUAUUAGGAAGGUGAUGUGUAAAACAUCUGCAUAACUUCAUUCCAAUUAACAUAGUUUGGAAGCAUUCAAAAACAAAGGCUGGAGAAUUGAGCUAGUACAACACCUCAAUGUGAUUCAAAGUAGUGAUUCUGUCACUAGAAUAGACCUUUUAUAUCAAAUUUAAACAAAUAUAAGCGUGUGCAUUCAUACAAGUGCAAAUUUUUUACUGUGUUAUUCUGCAUACAGAAAAAGAAAAGAAAAAAAAUCAGAAAAAGGAAAAAUUAUACCUGAGUACAAGUUUGUACAUGAUCGCGCCAAAGAGAAAUAGUUUUCAAAACAUCUCUAAAAGAUGAUAUAACUUCAAAUGACGUUGCCUUAGAAACAUUGUCAUCCUUAUCAUAAGGCUUUUCCUAAAAGAUAUGAGAACAGAAGUCCUCAGAAGUUCAUUUUACAAAUUUGGAUUAUUAUAUGAACUAUUCACACGAGAGAUCUGCACACACCUUGAGAUGAUCGACCUUGACCAUAAGAGGAUUCUCACUAACCUGCACAAGACAAUUAUUUCAGUUGUGCAUCUAUAGCACAGAGAUGGAUAAAGCUAUUAAUUUGCGAAAAUAUACCAACAACAUGGAAAAAUUCUGCUUGAGGUGCAUAAAUAAGUAGAAAAUAUAUUUGUAAGGUAAUUAAAGGAGAUGAAAAUAUAAAUAAACAAGAGAAGAACUUUAAAUCUACAAAAUCAUGAAUGAAGAAAGAUCCUACAAACCAUCUCAGUUAUUCAAAGUUGUCGGUGACCAAUAAGAACCAACUGAUCCCCUUGGAUGCCUGUAAUCUGAGAUCAUCAAGCUCGCUUGAUGAAUCAAAGAAGUUUUUUACCACGGAUAUAUAACUUCAAACAAUAACUUAACAAAGAUAAAAGAACGAGAAUUACUGAGCUAGCGUACCAACUUCGUGGAGAAGAUUAAAUAACUCUUUUCCUUUGAGAUCGUACAUAUUUUUCUCAUCUGUAUUCUCAGCUACUGCCUCAUCUUUAAGUAGGAAAGCACCAACAUAAGGUGCUUACCAUUUUCUACUCUCUACUAAGGCUUCUAACAACUUUGGGUCCUGCAGAAAAGGGUAUGUACAGAAGGAUAGGCAGAUCAGCUCUCUUCUAGUUACUAAGAACACGAGCAAAGUUUAUCUUACCUUCAUCUUAUAUAGAAAAACCAUUUAAAAAAUAAUAAUAAGAUAAAAGCUUUCAACUUUUCACUUCUUUCAUUUAUCAAAAGAAAUUCUAAAAUUCCAACAAGAACUAUUUGUAAAAAGUUAAAAGCUAAAGCAAGCAGAUAGGAUAUAAAAGACAAAUUACAGAGAGUAAUCCAUGUUCCUUGGACUCGGGUGUGGUGUCCGAUACAUAUCGAGGAAUCCGAUCAUUUUUCUCUCUCUAAAAUCUAGGAUACGAGAUUCAGCUAAAAAAAGAUCCAAAAUUUAGACACGGGCACAUGGAUUCAUCUUAUGAUGUAUAUUUAACCAUAAAUCUAUGAUAAAUUAAAUUGCAGGUUGUGAUUCUUUUUUUGAAAUUUCAUUUCAACUCUAGAAAUGUGAAAUACAAACUAGAAAUCGUUUUAAAUACAAUACCAAAUUAACAAAAAUGAUAUAAAGGACCCUCUUUUAUUUUAAGGGAUCCAAGAAGGAUAUCUUGUCGUGCAUGUCCGAUACACGUAAGAACUUCUAAAAUUCCAACAAGUACUAUUUGUAAAAAGUUAAAAGCUAAAGCAAGCAGAUAGGAUAUAAAAGACAAAUUACAGAGAGCAAUCCAUAUUGCUUGGACUCGGGUGUGGUAUCCGAUACAUAUCUAGGAGUCCAAUCAUUUUUCUCUCUCUAAAAUCUAGGAUACGAGAUACAGCUAAAAAAAAAUGAUUCAAAAUUUAGACACGAACAAUUCCUUGCGAUCAGACAGACAGGAACUGUUGCAGAGUAUAGGGAAAAGUUUGAAGUAGUGUCUGCUCCCCUUGCUCCCCUGAUGAAUGUAAGUGAGGACACACUAGAAGGAGUCUUCAUUAAUGGGCUAGAAGAAGAAGUGCAGGCAGAGGUAUUGAUGGUGAGACCGGCAGGACUUUCACAAAUCAUAGAUAUGGCACAACGAGUGGAGGAUAGGAACAAUUGGAUCAACAAGGCGAAGGAGCGAGAACGCCCACAAAUCCGGGGUGUAACUGCUCUGAUUCCAACUAGGGCUGAAAAUCGGACAAUUCCUUGGGGCUCGAGUAAGGGAACCAUUGUACAGGACAAAGGUGGAGGAAUGGGUUCGGGAAGCUCUACUGUAGGGUUCAAAAGACUAAACCAGGUUGAGAUUCAAGCAAAAAAGGACAAGGGCUUAUGUUCUCGAUGCGACGAAAAGUUUCAUGUUGGGCAUAAGUGCCGCAAUAGGAAACUACAAGUGCUGUUGGUGGACGAAGAGGAGCAAAACAGGGCAGGAGGGGAGUGUUCCGAAGAGAUGACUGAUUGUAACGAGCUGGAGGGUGUAGAGUUAUCAAUGAAUUCUGUGGUUAGGAUAAUUAAAGAAUUUUGUACUUGUUAUUCAAUUCUUUGAAAUUUAAUUUCUUCUUUGAGAAAUUAAAUGUGCUCUUUCUUGAAAUUAAUGUUGUUAAUAAUUUUUGAAACAAAUUCUUGUUUCAAAGAAUUAACAUCCUUAUAAAAUGGAGGAUUUGUGUAUUUGAAAAAUAUUUCUGACCAAAGAUGCUGGUUGUUGAACCUUUUGAGUCUACUUGAAAAGGAUAAAUUGAAACAAUGAAAGGAGUACAAAGUAUGACUUCUUAGUUUAAAUCUUUGACUAAAUAGAAGAUAUUUUUGAAACAAAUAUUGGAAUUACAAACAUGUGCCUUUGAAAGUUUGUAUUGAAAGUUGAGUUUUUCACCACUAACACCAUAAAAAAAUGCUCAGUAGCUUUUUAAAAAUAUUUUACGGGGCACCAGAAUCAGUUAAAACCAUGGAGGAGAAUUUGAAUUCUUUAUUGAUCACAAUGGUCAUAGUGCAGUACCACUUUUGAAGUUGAAUACUGCCACAUGACUUAUGCAGUGUGAUUUUACACUGCAAGUGCAGUGUAAAAUUUUAUAAUAUAGCUUUGAAAUACGAGUGUCGAACCCUCAGGGAUUGAUAUUUGAAUCUCAUCAAGUACUAUAAUUAUUUUAACUUUCACUUUAUUUAGACAAUCGAUUUUUGAAAUGAUGUUUUAUUGCUAAAUUAAAAUAAAUGGGAUGAACAAUGCAAAGUGAACAAGGGUAAUUUGUAAAGUUUCUUAUCAAAUUAUGAAUGCCUAGAUAGUGAUUUCAUCAUACUAUCGACAAUGUUUUUCAACCAUUAUAACUAUUUCUAUCAAUCGUUCCAAAAUUUAUAGGCAAUAACACUAAAUUGAUUACAUUUCCCUCUCUCGAGCGCCAAAAGGAAUCUAUUUCUAUAUUUUAAUUUCAAUAUCUCGAUUUCGAACUAAAACAUAAAAAUCAUCAAGCACGUGGUUCUUAAUUGAAAUAAGCCUUAAAGAUUUAGCAUUUUCUCUCAAAACUUGCAAAAUCUAGGUUAUGUUAUCUUAGAUCACGACUAAAUUUCUCUCUCUCGAGUGCCAAAAUUUAAAGCAUCAAAUCAUUCAAUUAGUGACCAGUUAAUUGAAAGGAUUGCGCAAGAAUCGACAUAAAUAAAUAAGCAGAAAUAUUAAAUGUUAUAAUUAUAUCGAAAUCAAAACAUGUCUACAUAGGUUACAUCAAACCCUACAAUUAAUGUUUAGUUUAUGAAGAAAGAAUUAAAUCUAAACAAAUUGAUGAUUAACAUAAAGAGGGGAAAAAAACUCUUUUGAAGCUUUUAAUUGGAGUUCCCCUUGAUGUUCUUCAUGCAUCCUUGUCCUUGAUGAAUUGUUUGUUGCAUUGUCUUCAAUCUUGCCCUUCAAUUGUUGUGUUUGGCCCCUUCAAUUCUUCUCAAAAAUAGGGUUUUUUGAAUGGCAUUUAUAGUAUGUUAGGGUCUUGGACGAAUUAGGGUUGAAAUGGGCCAAGAAAAAAGUCAAAAAAUAUUUAAAAAAAAAGAAGCAUUUUCCCGCAUAUCCAGCACCUCAGAACCCAAGAUAGGUGCCGAGGUACCGGGCUUGCUAUUAUUUUCAAUGAGUUGGGCACUGCAGUGCCCAAAUUGAGGCGUCCGAUUGGGUUGAAAACGACAGAUUGCGCGUAUUUAAGUACUUAUAGCAUAACUUUCUUCUACAAUAUUCGAUUAAGGUGAUUCAAGAUGCGUUAGAAAGCUAACUCCAAGGGCUACAGCUUUACUUCAGACAUUGUUCUCCAAUUCGAUUGUUUACUAUGUCAAAAAUCGGUCUCAAUGUGAGGCUGAAAUUUAAGAGCAUAACUUUUCGAUUGAAAAUUGAUUUGUGGCCAUAUUUUGCCUUAAUUUGAUCCCUUUGACAUCUUUCUUCAUCCAAUUGACUCCUAAUACUCUCUGAUCUUUAUCGUGAGGUUCGACACAACUUUUAAAUAUUUACACUUUAGUCCCCAAACUUUGGAUCUCUUACAAUUUAGCAUUUUCUCCAACUUAGCCAACUUUUGCUUAUUUCAUUUAAUUUCAUCAACCUAUAUCACAACAUCAAAACACACAUUAUAACGUUCUAAAACACUCUCAAUGGCAACAAAAUAAUGAAUUAAGUGGUACGAAUAUAAUGAGUAUGGAGCACUCAUCAAAUACGAUUGAUAACCUUAAUUUUUUUCUUAUUCUAUAUGAGAGGCUUCAGGAGAGGUGUGAAAAGUUUCUUCUUCUAAAGAAUCAUUAUUGGAAUGUCUUCUUGUUUUAUAUUUUUAGGGGGUGUUUGAUAGCUAUUUUUAUGUAAAAAUGCAUUUUAGAAUAGUAAAUUGAUGUGAAAUGUAUGGUUGAGAAAUAAGGAAAAGUUUUUUAUUUACGUGUAAUAUUAUUUUAUUAAAGAAUGUGUAGUUGAAAAGAAGAGAGAGAAAAAUGCAUUUUGAAAAAAAUGGCUACCAAAACGGGGCCUUAGUUUUCGGAGAAUAACUUUUAUACGGACAUCUUUCAUUUGACGUUCAAGAACAACAAUUUGAGAUUUCCUCGCCUUAAUUUCUAAUUUUAAUUCAGAACUAGAAGAUUUUGAAGAUGUGGAUUCAGUAUUGAGCAUAUUUAAUAUACCCUUUAUAUUAAAUGGUGUUGCCGACAUUUUGGAAGUAGAAGGUAGAAGAAGAGAGAAUUUCUUCUUUAAUUGAGGAUCUUCUAUUUUCUCAAUUAUUUCUUGAAUAAGUUCUUCUUCUUUGGUAAGGAUAUUUAUGGUUUUACAACCACUAACUUCCUUAGCUUGACUUGAAGUAGAAAAAGGGGAACUUGAGCUGGUCUCAACGCCACAGUCUUCCUGAUGCAUGUAAACUUGCUUGAGUUCAAAAUUAGAAUCUUCACCUAAACUAGAAUUGAGUAGAUUAAGAAGUUCAAAUUUAAUAUCUUCUUCUAUUUGAAGAUUAUUAAUCUUUCCCUUCAUAGGACAUUUAUUUGAUCAACAACUAUUUGUUUGCACUUCCAACAGGUAAUGUUUGAAGUUUUAGGAAUUAUUUUCCUUGAAAAAUUUCUUUUUGAAUAUUUGGGAGGAUAAGAUUGAGAAAUAUUUUGUAUUUGAAAAGAUCAUUUUCUUAAAAAGUAAGGAAAACUUUUCUUUUACAAUCUUGAAGAAGGGGGAACAUUUUUUCCAAACCAUAUUGAUCAUCGGAUGAUCCAAGUUCUUUUUGACUCUCAGUUCUUUCUGACUUUAACUUUGCCUUGAGUUUGAGAUCUCGCCAUAAGCAAGGAAAGAACAAGGAAUAGGAUCAUUAUGGUGAAGUCUGAUGGAAUUAUGCACUCUUUCAACAAAAUGUUUAGGAAGUCCAGAAAUAAUCUUUCUUUCCAAAAAGAUUGAUUACAAUCUUCAUGAAAUAAAACUCUAGUAGGAAACAUAUCCUUAUACCAUUGAAAAUCAUCAAGUUUAGGAUAAGUGAGAUUUAAGAAAUGUCCUAUCUUGAAGGAGAUCUUGAGUUCCAAUAAAAUGUUUGAGAACGGAAAAGACAAGUCUAUUGAAACUAUCAUUACGAAGUUGUUCAUUGGAAGCUUUAGUAAUAGUGUCGCGAUCUUCGACAAUAAGAUAGUUAUUCCAUGGCUUUUAAGCUCACAAACUAAAUUAUUGAAGGUAGUAAUAGGAGAUAUAUUUCGACAUAUAUAAGCUGUGUAACACACGGCCAUAUGUUAAAGCAAUUGUAAUAUUUGAUAUUCUGUCCAUCCGUCAAGAUUUCAUUAGACGAUCUCACCAUCCGAUAGGAAACUUUUGAUUAUUUCUUUUCCUCUUAUGACAUAUCAGAAUAUGAAGAACGAGAAUAAAAAUUUGGAAGUUUCGAUUUUGGCCUUUCAAUUUAUUGAAAUGAGAUGGUUUAUUUUCAAUAAAUUGCGCUUCAAGUUCUUCUAAAAUAUCAACGGUAUUGAUUUUGUUAUAUGUUUCUAAUUUGGAUAUUUGGUUAGCGAGUUCUUAUAAAAAAUUUAUGUAGGCAAAGAGUCUUUUCUUUAGUUUAGGAGUUAAUUUUGAAUUAAUGGAUUUAAAAUUGUAUUAAGAGGUAUUUUCUCAUUUUUCUUGGAUGAGGAGGCUUCGGAAUCAGAAUUGGCUUUAAUCCUAGAUAAUUUAGAACACAAUGACUGGAGAACAAUAUUUGUAUAAUUGUUCUGUGUUAAAUAUUUUUUAUAUUUCUGGUUUAGUGCUAGAUUCUUGGGGUCUAUCAGUAGGAACUUGCUUGAUAUGUGAUGCAAUAAUAUCAGUGUUUCCAUAAGAAACAACUAUUUCUUGCAUUGACGGAUCUUCAGAUUGAAAAUUUUGUCCAGAAGGAGUUUUUCAAGUUUUUUUUUUUUUUUUUUUUUAUUAACAUGAGUAUUUUGAAAUAGAUGUAGUUUUAGCAAUCUUCUUGCCAGAAACUUUAAAGUGUGCUCAAUCAUAAAACUUAAAUCUUUAGGAGAAUUAUAAAAUUCUUACCAUAAAAAUUUGAUCUCAAUUUAACAUUUGUUUAAGAGAAAAUUUUGACAGAAGGAGUUUUAUCAAUUUUGAACUCAGUUUUUCUAUUAAUUAUAGAAGUAAUUACAUUACACUGUCUAUCCAAUCGUUCAUAUGGACUAGAUAGCAUAUCUGACAACUCAAGCAAAUCAAGCUGUUCUAAUUUGAUAUCCCUAUUAGUUAUAUAUUGAGUUUUUGGAAUAGUCAUUGUAAAAUCGACUACUUUUCAUUUAUCAAAAGAAAUUGAAAUUCUUGAUGAUUGAAAAGGAUUUUUAGAUCUUGUCUCAGAUCUAGAAGAGUAGGACCUUGGAAGAUUAUUUGAUGAUGAUUUUUCAUUAAAAAUCAUCUGGACUUGUGUAUUUGGGAAGGAAAAAAUUUGAUUAAGAACUGUUCAAACAGGUGUAAGAAUUGGGUUUUGAGCAUUUUCAAAAUCUCAUUCAAGUCCUCUAGAUUAAGAUUUCAAGGUAUUCUUUUUUUUGGAAUUAUGGUACUAGAAUGAAGAGAAUCAUCGUCCAUCAGAAGACUUUCAUCUAUAAGAGAUGAGCGAAGAGCUCAAAUAUUGAGUUGAGUGUUCAUAAAUUUUUAAUAUACACGAUAUAUUAUAGCAAAUGCUUUGGAAAGAUCGUCAUAAUUAAGAUUUUUUGUUUGAAUUUGAAUAGAUGCUCAGAUUUUUAACUAGCUGCCUGAUAAGGAAAAACGUGAAAAAAUAUAUGAGUUGAUAGCUCAGUGAGUGAAGAAAUUCAAAAUAAAUAUACUUUUUCAUUUAUAUAUUUUUAUUGAAAAUCAAAUCCAUAUCAUUUGAUAAUUCACAAGCUACCAUCAUGUAAUCAUAGUCAAAAAGUAAAAUAUUCACAUAAGGUCAUAAAAAUAUCAUCUUAAAAUCACGAUAUAAUAUCAGCUGAUAACCAUGUUAUAAUCUUAUCAUAUCAAACGUGCUGAAAAAUUCACCAAAAAUGUACCCUCUGACUGAAAUAUAUAAUCCGCCCCUCGGGUUAAGAACUUUCGCCAUCCCUCCGUGAACGAAAGUCGGUCUCCAAGCCUCUCAUAAUCAAUUCUAGAACACGGUCAAGGUCGCUCUGUGAACUAUAUGUACACGAUCAAGACCAAUGUCGGGUCAAGACCCUCCGUGUAGGAUAGAACACGGCCAAGGCCCUUUUGUGAACUAGAAUAAGUAUAUAAUCAUGGGUACUUUUCUGGCCGAUCUCAAUAUUGCAUGUCUCACACACCAACCAAAUCUCAAUAUCACAUGUCUUACAUAGCAAGUCACAAAUAUGUCAUAAAUAAUCUUUGAUAUUCCACAUGUAUCAUAAUAAAAGAAAUUUCCAUAAUAACCAUAUAAUUCGAACACAUAAUUGCACAUACUUUGACAUACUUAAUUUAUAAAUAUUUUAAAAAUAUUUAUCUUUUUUCUCUCACAGAACUAUGUAUGCCAAAAUCAAUUCAAUUGGUACGCUGUUCCGAUAUCCGUAUCGCCGCAUGAAAUAUAAUAUAAUUUUUAAAUCAACAAUUAACUAAUUUAAGUAAUUUCAAUAAUCAAAUAGGCGAUACCUAAACAUAAUUAUUUCAUGUUUAGGGGAUUUCUUAAGUCUCUUUAAUUACUAAAAUUAAUUUUUCUUUCAUUUUACUCAAUUUCAUAGUUUAUUACACUUAACCACUUCAAUAAAAUUAAAUUUAACCUAACAAUCUAACAACUACAAAAUCAAACAUAACUUAACAAUAAGUAACUUUUUACUUACCCUUCAAAAUUGAGAAAUUUAAGCCUAAUAGGAUAGAGCACUUAAUUCCUAACACAUUGGCGAAAUUUUCUUUUUUUUCCUUCUUUUUCUUCCUCUUUUUCUUUUUUUUUCUUUUCCUCUUUUUCCUUUCUCUUUUUCUUCUCUGGUACCUUUUUUUUUUUUUUUCUGUUUUGGUGUGUGUAAAGUGUGAUAUGCGUGUCUUAUUAAAGAUUGGAUUACAUAUAUAUCUAAUACAUUGGAAAUGGGUUGGUUUGCCGCCUGCCAUUUUUGUCUUUUUCUUUUUAAUUUUUUUGUUUGACUUUUUUUUUUGUUUAAUGUUUUACAAAACUCACCCCCUUAAAAGAAUUUCGUCCUCAAAAUUCAAUUGACUAAGCGUGGAAAAUCUGGGGAUACUGAGAACGCAUCUGCUCUUCACUUUCCCAUGUCGCUUCUUCUAUAGCAUGAUUCCUCCACAAGACUUUAACCAAAGGAAUGGUCUUACUACGCAAAGCAUGUUCCUUCCUAUCCAAUAUCUGAACUGAUUUUUCUUCAUAGGUAAGUUUUUCUUUAGCUAUUUUUCUUCAGCUCUACUGGUUGUGAUUCCAAAACAUGAGAUGGAUCUGGAAUAUACUUACGAAGCAUAGAAACAUGGAAUACAUCAUGAAUUUUAGACAAUUCUGUUGGCAAAGCCAAUCGAUACGCAACUGGACUGAUGCGUUCAACAAUCUCAUAUGGGCCAAUAUUCUUCGGACUCAAUUUACCUUGUUUAACAAAUCUGAUAACAUCUUUCCAUGGAGACAAUCGCAGGAAAACUCUAUCUCCAACAUCAAAUUCAAGGUUUCUUCUGCGUCUAUCUGCAUAGUUCUUCUGUGUAUUUUGCGCUGUUUUUAACUUUUCUUUAAUUAUCUUUACUUUCUCGGCAGUAAUCUGGACAUAUUCAGUACCCAAUAACUUUCUUUCACCAACUUCAUCCCGACAUAUUGGAGUUUUGCAUUUUCUACCAUACAGUGUUUCAAAAGGAGCCAUUUCUAUACUCGAAUGAUAACUGUUUUUAUAGGCAACCUCCAUCAAAGAAAGAUGAGUAUCCCAAUUCCCUUUGAACUGUAGUACAAAAGCUCGUAACAUGUCUUCUAGAGUCUGAAUAGUUCUUUCUGACUGACCAUCUGUUUGUGGAUGAAAAGCUGUACUGAAAUGAAGUUUAGUACCCAUAGCUUUCUGCAAACUGGGCCAAAAUUUAGAAGUGAAACGAGAAUCUCUAUCUGAAACAAUAGAUACUGGUGCCCCAUAUAAACUAAUUAUCUCGUCAACAUAUAUUUUUGCCAAUUUAUCUAAUAAGUAAGUGACUUUAAUAGGCAAAAAUUUAGCAGUCUUUGUCAAUUUGUCUACAAUGAUCCAUAUGCCAUCAUGUCCACUCUGAGUUCGUGGAAGUCCAAAUAGAAAAUUCAUAGUAAUGUGUUCCCAUUUCCACUCAGGAAUAGGCAACAUUUGGAAAAAUUUUGCUGUUACAUCUGGACACAAACUUAGCUAUUUCUCUCUUCAUUCUAUGCCACCAAUAGUAUUUUUUAAAUACACGAUACAUUUUUGUACUACCUAGAUGCAUCACGUAAGCUGAACUAUGUGCCUCUUCUAGAAUUUCUCCCUUUAAUUUCGAAUUAUCUGGAACACAUAAUCUGUUUCCCAUAACUAAAGCUCCAUCAUCUCGAAUGGUAUAAUCUGUAUGCUUACCUUUACUAGCUUCUUCUUUCAAUUUACUCAACACUGGAUCUUGAGUUUGAGUUUCUUUAACUAUGUCAAUCCAAGUAGGCCUCACUUGAAAGUUGGCAAACAAUGCUUCUACACUGGUAACUGAUAAUUGAGCAUGAGAACCUCUGAACUCACUAAACAAAGAUGAACAUACUGCAUUAGUUUGAGUCAUAGGACUCGAUAUUUUUCGACUGAGAGCAUCCGCAACUACAUUAGCCUUCCCUGGAUGAUAAUCAAUCUUGCAGUCGUAAUCUUUUAUCAGCUUUAACCAUCUUCUUUGCCUCAAGUUUAACUCUUUUUUUAUUGAAAAUAUACUUUAAGCUUUUAUGAUCUGUAUAUAUUUGGCAUCUCUCACCAUACGAGUAAUGUCUCCAAAUUCUCAAGGCUAGAACAACUGCAGCUAGCUCUAAGUCAUGUAUAGGAUAACUCAGUUCAUGUUUCUUCAACUGCCUGGAAGCAUACGCUAUAACUUUCCCAUUCUGCAUCAAAAGACAACCAAGACCCUGACGUGAAGCAUUACUAUAUAUCACAAACUCUUCACCAGGAGAUGGAAGGGUAGGAACUGGAGCUGACACUAAUCUAUUCUUCAAUUCGAGGAAACUUCUCUCGCAAUUUUCAUUCCAAACAAAUUUAGCAUUUUUUCUAGUCAAAUUGGUCAAAGGCAGAGCAAUCUUAGAAAAUCCUUCUACAAAACGACGAUAAUAACCUACCUAUUAAGCCAAGAAAACUUCGGAUUUCUGUCACAUUAGUAGGCCUUUCCCAUUUUACCACUGCCUCUGUUUUCUGCGGGUCAACAUAAAUUCCUUCUUCUGAUAUGACAUGUCCCAAAAAUACAACUUUAUCAAGCCAAAAUUCACAUUUACUGAAUUUAGCAUACAACUGCUCAUCACGUAGAGUCUGCAAGAUGAUUCUGAGAUGUUCUGUGUGCUCAUCAUGAUCUCGAGAGUAUACUAAAAUAUCAUCAAUGAAUACAAUCACAAAUCUGUCUAAAUAUGGGCGAAACACUCUAUUCAUCAUAUCUAUAAAUGAUGCUGGUGCGUUGGUCAACCCAAAUAGCAUCACAAGAAAUUCAAAAUGACCAUAUCUUGUCCUGAAAGCAAUUUUUGGCACAUCACUAUCCUUGAUUUUAAGUUGAUGAUAUCUAGAACGCAAAUCAAUCUUUGAAAAUACUGCAACACUUCGAAACUGAUCGAACAGAUCAUCAAUACGUGGCAAAGGAUAUUUAUUGCGAAUUGUCACCUUGUUCAAUUGUCUGUAAUCUGUGCACAGUUGCAUGGUACCAUCCUUCUUUUUCACAAAAAAAACUGGUGCUCCCCACAGAGAUAAACUAGGCCUGAUGAAACCCUUAUCUACCAAUUCUUGCAACUGAACAUUUAGCUCUUUCAAUUCUGCUGGUACAAUUCUAUAGGGUGCCCGUGAAAUAGGUACAGUUCCUGGAAUCAGAUCUAUAGUGAACUCCAUAUCUUUGUCUGAUGGUAAUCCUGGUAAUUCUUCUGGAAAUACGUCAGGAAAGUCCUUGACCACUGGAAUAUCUUCAAGUUUUAGUUUGCUAACAUCUGUAUCAAUUACAUGAGCCAAAUAUGCAUGACAGCCCUUGUUAAGUAAUCUUCUAGCGUCAAUAGCAGAUAUCACACAAGACGGUAAAAUUAUAUGCUGUCCAUUGAAUAUAAUUUCAGGCUGUCCUAGCUGUCUAAACACAACCUCCUUUUGAAAACAAUCAACUGAAACUCGAUUUGUUGCCAAAAAGUCUAUACCCAAGAUAACAUCGUAAUCGUGUAUGUCAAGAGGUAUUAAAUUUGCCUUCAGCUCGUUCUUCUUUACCUUAAUCCCACAAUCUCAAUAUAUAUUGUUUGCUAAUAGUGAUUUUCCUAUUGGUGUAUUCACUACCAGACAACUGCCUAAAAGUUUUGGCUUUUGAUUCACAUAUAAAGCAAAUACAAAUGACAUAAAAGAAUGUGUAGAUCCAGGAUCAAUCAAAAUACAAGCAUUUCUAUCAAAAAUAGACAACAUACCCAUGAUAACAUCUGGUGACUCCUUUGCCGCCUGCUGAGUCAUAGCAAAAAAUUUGCCCUGGGUCUUUGGUCGUCCUACCUGUCCUUUUGAUUUUGUACCACUACCGCUUGCAAUAUUAGAGUGGGCCACACUAUUUGUACCUGCUCUAUUAGCUGAAUCAUCUCUCUGAGUCUGAUUCUGUCUUGUACUACCAGUACUCUGCUAAGGAAACAUCCUUUGUGCCAUGCUACCCUCCUGAAAUAAAAUUGGGCAAUUCCUUUUCAGAUGUCCUUCUUGGCCACAGCGAUAGUAAACACCAAUUCCCUUGAACUUUAAACACUCUCCAGGAUGAGAUCUUCCACAUAAUUGGCAAGAAGAAAAUCUGGCACUAGUAGAAUCCUCUCCCUGUUUCAGAGUAAAUGAUCUUUGGAAAGAACCCUGAGUGUAAUUAUGACUAGCCAAUGGCUGCUGUACAGUAGUGGGACUGAAUCUAGGACCCUGACUUCCUCGAAGUCAAGAUUUGAAUUGACCUGAACUGGACACACCAGGUCGAAAUCCUCUACUGUCCCUCCGUGGUGGUCAUAGCUAGAAGCACUUGCCAUUGUCUAACUACCGCUUGCUCUGAACAUUGUUUGUUCUCUACCACUUGGCCUAUCAGAAAUGCUCUUUUCUACCCUCAAAGCUGAUUACACUAAUUUGCCAAAUUCAUUCCAGCCUGCAGCUGUUACAACUGACCUGAUUUCUUCCCUUAACCCAUUUUCAAACCGUCUACAUUUAUCAAUUUCGUUGCAUACCAAAACUUGGGCAUAUUUUGAAAGUUCAAUAAAUUUCACCUGAUAUUCUGCAAUAGUCAUCUGGCAUUGUAUUAGUUUCAGAAAUUACUCCUGCUUUGCAUCUUUAUAGGACCGAGGAUAAUAGGCAUCGUAAAAGAUAAGACGAAAAACUGUCCAAGUAAUGAUUGAAGGGUCUAGAUAUGUGCUCCGUACUGACUGCCACCAAUAAUACACACCCUUCUCUAAUAAAAAGGUGGCAAGACACAACUUCCGAUCGUCUAAGCAGCCCAUAACGUCAAAUACCGUCUCUAUCUUUAUCAUCCAUGCCUGCACAACUGCAGGAUCUGCUGUGCCAAUGAACACUUUAGCCCCUAACUUUGUAGCCCUUUCAAUACUAAAAUCUCUGUCAGUAUUACGCAUAGCAGAUGCAACUGCAGUAGUAAUUCUUUCAACAACAAUAUGAUCGGUUUCAAUCACAUUUUCUUGUCCAUGUUGUUCAGGAGUCUGGUGAACUGAUUCAUCUACUCUCUCGGGCUCUCUCAGUUCAUCUCUAUCAGGAGCAAUGUGAGACUGGGGCAAUAUAUCUUGGAACCUUCGAGUUUUGCCACCACGAGGCAUGAUUCACCUACAGUUAUGCAUGAUAUGCUAAAUAUGAGAAUGUAUGCAUGUACAGUGCAAACCCAUGAACUCUAAUGCAUGCUCUGAUACCAAACUGACACACCCCGCCCCGUGUAACACUACUAGAUUCGGACGUGGGAUGCGCCGAUGAUAGAUAUCAACUAAAAGUCAGACCCACCAUCAAGACUACUACAAAUACAAUAUAUUACUUUUUAUACAUCAUUUUUCUAACAAAAUUUCGGCAUUAUCUCCCCUGUAAACAGGACUAAUCAACAUGUGAUCAAUUUCACAUAAAUCCAAAACUAUAGCACAGCACAAUAAAAAUAAGUCGAAAUCUCCACUUUUACCAAGAAAUACAAUGAAAUAUACCUAUGGAUACAUAAUACAUAGUGAGCCCCAUAACUAUCUACAAGUGAUGCAAAAUCACAUCUAAACAUGAACAUGCGUCCCAAAAUACUGACUACAUGUUCUAUGAAGUGAGUCAUACUAACAAACUCUAUGGUGUGGCUCUGAUUCCAAAAUCAAGACUCAACUCCAAAAGAUACCCAGAUUUUCAACUACUGUCUGAUAAGGAAAAACGUGAAAAAAUAUAUGAGUUGAUAGCUCAGUGAGUGGAGAAAUUCAAAAUAAAUAUACUUUUUCAUUUAUACAUUUUUAUUGAAAAUCAAAUCCAUAUCAUUUGAUAAUUCACAAGCUACCAUCAUGUAAUCAUAGUCAAAAAGUAAAAUAUUCACAUAAGGUCAUAAAAAUAUCAUUUUAAAAUCAUGAUAUAAUAUCAGCUGAUAACCAUGCUAUAAUCUUAUCACAUCAAACGUGCUGAAAAAUUCACAAAAAAUGUACCCUCUGACUAAAAUAUAUAAUCCGCCCUUCGGGCUAAGAACUUUCGCCACCGGCCUUUGGCCCCCUCCAUGAACGAAAGUCGGUCUUAACGACCUCUUAUAAUCAAUUCUAGAACACGGUCAAGGCCCCUCUGUAAACUAUAUGUACACGAUCAAGAUCAAUGUCGGGUCAAGACCCUCCGUGUAGGAUAGAAUACGGCCAAGGCCCUUCUGUGAACUAGAAGAAGUAUAUAAUCAUGGGUACUUUUCUGGCCGAUCUCAAUAUUGCAUGUCUCACACACCAACCAAAUCUCAAUAUCACAUGUCUUACAUAGCAAGUCACAAAUAUGUCACAAAUAAUCUUUGAUAUUCCACAUGUAUCAUAAUAAAAGAGAUUUCCAUAAUAGCCAUAUAAUUCGAACACAUAAUUGCACAUACUUUGACAAUAUACUUAAUUUAUAAAUAUUUUAAAAAUAUUUAUAUUUUUCACUCACAGAACUAUGUACGCCAAAAUCAAUUCGAUUGGUACGCUGUCCCGAUAUCCGUAUCGCUGCCUGAAAUAUAAUAUAAUUUUUAAAUCAACAAUUAACUAAUUUAAGUAAUUUCAAUAAUUAAAUAGGCGAUAUCCAAACAUAAUUAUUUCACGUUUAGGUGAUUUCUAAAAUCUCUUUAAUUACUAAUUAUUCUUUCAUUUUACUCAAUUUCAUAGUUUAUUACACUUAACCCCUUCAAUAAAAUUAAAUUUAACCUAACAAUCUAACAACUACAAAAUCAAACAUAAUUUAACAAUAAGUAACUUUUUACUUACCUUUCAAAAUUGAGAAAUUCAAGCCUAAUAGGAUAGAGCACUUAAUUCUUAACACAUUGGCGAAUUUUUCCUUUUUUUUCUUUGCCUCUUUUUCCUUUCUCUUUUUCUUCUCUGGUACUUUUUUUGUUUUUUUGUUUUGGUGUGUGUAAAGUGUGAUAUGUGUGUGUUAUUAAAGAUUGGAUUACAUUUCUAAUACAUUGGAAAUGGGUUGGUUUGCCGCCUGCGUUUUUGUCUUUUUCUUUUUAAUUUUUUUUUUGUUUAAUGUUUUACAAAGACGUUGCGGAAGAAUAUGCUGUGAAACCGUUGGUUGUAAACAUGAUUCUAAAACUUCCACGGGAAAAGAAUGGGUUAGAUUGUUUUCUAAAGAUAUGUUUUUUGUUUCAUUUGAUGUCUAGCUUUUUAAUUAUCUUAAUUCUUUUUUCCCCUUUCAGUGGAGAUUGUGGAAUUUAUAUAAUUAGAUAAGCACAAUAUUUCAUCAACAAAAGUUAAACGAACCGUGAAAGCCAUUUAACAUUCUACAAAUUAGACAAAACUUUGCUGCUCAAUUGUUUAUACCAAGAAGAAGCAAGAUAAGAAUUAUAACAGAGACAAUGAAUGGGCGUCAAAGGGAAGAGAUUCGUGAUAUAUUGAUGAGGUAGAGAUAAAGAUGUAUUUGAAGAGGCAACGAUAGAUUAAUGUACAGGACUGACAAGCAAAUAAUGAUGAUGUUUAAAUUAUGACAUUUUGCAUUUUUAGUUGUUAGGUUAUUGAUGAGAUUUUGGCUGCAUUCAAUAUGUUGAUAGUUGAUGUUAAAUGAUUGUACAUAACUUGGUUGUAUUAAGUUGGUUGGAAUUUGAUCUUUUUGGUACAAAAUGAAUGCUUUACUACAAUUUUUAUCCAGGAAAACUGGUGUAGAUAAAUAUCAGGUUUUUAUCUUGGACUUUAAUUUUAUUUUAUUUUUUUAAUUUUGUCAAUUUUUCGAGUGUUUGUAACUUUUUUGAAUUUUUUUCCUUUUUUUAGUGUUUAUCACUUUUUUUUUAAUUUCUAUCACUUUUUUAAUGUUUAUCACUUCUGUUUAAAUUUUUGUCAUUUUCUUGAAAUUUCUAUUAAUUUUUGAGUAACAAAAAUCAAUUUCUUAAUAAAAGUGACAUUAUGUAUAAAAAAAAGUAACAUGUAAAACUUUCUUUUAGUGAUAUUGUUUCACUUAAUUUCACAUUUUAUUUUUACUUCUUUUUUUAUUUUUAAUUUUUUUGUCAGUUUCUUAAAAUUUCUGUCACUUUUUAAUAAAAGUGAUUUGGAAAAAAAGUAACGCUUAAAACUUUUUUUAAAAGUGAUAUUGUGUCACUUAAUUUUACAUAUUAUUUUUAUAUUUUUGUCACCUUCUUGAAAUUUUUGUCACUUUUUAAUAAAAGUGAUAUCGUAUGUGACUUUUUCAUAAAAUAGUGAUACUUAACUUAAAAAAAUGAAACUGUGUAUAUAAAAGUUACAUUGUGUCACUUUUAAAAUAUUUUACAAAGUAUUUCUUACUUCCAAAUUACUUUUCAUAUGAUUUUUCAAAAGACAUCUAAUUUUGUGGGAAUUUUUGUGAGCUGCCCUAUUUUUUUCUUUUUGUCAAUGGGAAAUAAGCUUCAAUAAGUGGUUACAAUUCGGGGUGUAAUUUUAGUCGUUUUGUCUCCAAUGUCUUCUUAUAGUAAGUGGAUAACGUAACCACAUCAUGCACUAACAUAGAUUAAAACUUGUAAAUAUUAGUUCCGUUCAAUAAAAUGUUUUGUAUAUUAUAAGCUUUGAACAAAACUACAGAUAAAAAUGAUCAGCUUAUGAGUAUUGUUUAUUAUAAUUUCUAUGAUUUUCAUUUAUUAUAUCAUGAAUUAAACAAUUUAUCUAGGGGAUUGAUGUAGCCGAAUCAAGAUUAUGGUUUGAUGAUUUUAUAAUUAUUUCUUUGAUUUUUAAUGCUUUCAAUUGCCUGAUCAACAAUUGGAUGAUUUGAUGCUAGUCAAUUUCGGGGCUCGAGAGGGUGGGAAUUUAGGCGUGAUCAUAAGAGUGAUGCAACAUAGAAUUUAUAGGUUUCGAGAGAAAGUAUAAAUCUGUGAAGCUAUCUCCAUAAAAGAAUCGGAUCUUUAUUAAAUUCUUGAUUUUCAAUUUUGAACAGAGAUGUUAGAAUUGGGAUCUAGGGUUAAUUUCUAAUCGGUGCUCGAGAGAGGGGGUUAGAAAUACAUUAGGAUUCUUGCUUUUAAAUAUGGGAAAAUUAAUUGGAAUAAUUUGAAUUCGUUGAAUCAUAAUUGAAAGUUAGGUGAAAUCAAUCCCUAGGCCUUCUCAUUUGAUAAUUUGUAUUCCCCAAUUUUGUCACAUCCAAUCACGUUAGUUUAGUUUAAAUCGUUCAUUCAUAAAACAUCAAUUCAAUCAUACAUUCAUCUAAAUAAAGUAGAAAUUGCAUAAUUAUAGUACUUAGUGAAAAUUAAAUACAAUCCCUGUGGGUUCGACACUCUUACUUCAAUACUAUAUUACAAAACUUGACACCGUAUACUUGUGGUUAAACCACGUUGUAUAAAACGUGUGGCAAGUAUGAAAGAGCUUUACCAAACAUUCACGAAAAGUGGAUACCUAGGGUUUUUACUGGAGAUUCUGCAUAUAUAUUAAAUUUUUUAAAUAUAUUUUCAACAUAAUGGAAUGGGAAAGUACAAUUUCAUUAUAUUUUUUAGAGAUCUUAAUCCCUAAUAUUGCAUUUGUUACCGCCACAUCUUUCCUAUCAAAAUGUAUUGUUAACAUUUUAUUAGUGUUCAUGAUGAUAUCAUGACUUUUGUCCAUAAUUAACAUAUAAUUCACAUAUAGAUAUAGAAUUAUAUAGGCUUUGUAUACAUGUUUUAUGUACACACAUUUGUCACUCUAUUAAUUUUAAAAUUAUUUGACAACAUUGUUUUGUCAAACAUUUGGUGUCAUUAUUUUGGAGUUGCUUCAAAUCAUAUAGGGAUUUAACAAGUUUGCACACUUUUCAUUCUUGGUUAGGAGCAAUAAGCCCUUCAGGUUGCUCUAGGUAUAUUUUUUCUUCCGAUUCACCAUUCAAAAUAUUGCUUUCAUGACCAUUUGAUGAAUUUCAAGGUUAUGUAAUGAUCAAUUGUAAUCAACACCCUCAUCAAAGUGAUUUUAGUCAUAGCUGUGUAAGUAUUAAAGAAGUCAAGUCCUUUUUGCCUAUAGCCUUUUGCAACCAACUUAGUCUUAUAUUUAUCAACGGAUCCAUCCUUUUUUUUCUUGAAAAUCCAUUUAUACGCUUGAGGCUUAUUUCCCAGUGGUAAAUCAAUCAACUCCCAAGGAUGAUUUUGCAUUAUAAAUUCUAUCUUUCCUGUUUUCAAUGGAGUGUUCCCCGUGUAGACAUUGCUUGACUAAAUGUCUUACGAUCACUUUCUACCAUAUAGGUUUGAAAAUUCUGAACCAUAUGAAGUUGAUGUUCUAGCUCUCUUGUUUUACUGUGCUUUUAUUCUUCAUCAUUCAUAGUACUGUUUGCAGUUUCGUAAGUUCUCUUAUAUGAACUUAAAUCUUCUUUACCUUUGCAUGGAGUGAUAUUUUCGAAAAAUAAGCAUUUCUUGAUUCAAUUAUGGUGUCUUCAUGUAUGUCUUGUAUAUCAAACUUAUGAACAAUAAAUCGAUAUGCACCACUAUUAUUGGUAUAUCCAAUAAAUAUGCAAUCAAUUGUCUUAACCAUGAUUUUAAUUUGUUUCGGCUUUAGUAAUUCAACCUUAGCCAAAUAUCUCCACACUUUCGAGUUUAAGAAGGUUAAUGAUAUUUCAUAAUUCAUAUGGAAUUUUAUCAAUUUAUUUUAGAGAUAUUUUAUUAAGGAUGUGAGUUACUAAAAGUAUAGCCGUUAACAAAAUAACUAAAGCAUGAAAGCAGAAUUUAAAUUUUUAUUUAUAAUGCUUUGUUUCGAUACAAUAGUAAGAAUGUUCAUUUUGAACAUUACAUCACAUAAGUAUCAUUUUCAAAAUAUAUAACUUAUUUUUAGUGAGUACAAAUUUAUCGGAUACAAAUACUAAUUUUAAAUCAUUUUUGCUUAGUAGAGACCUAGAUGCAAGGUUCCUACGAAUGUUCAACACAUAUAUGAUAUUGUUGAGAAAUGAGAAUGAGUUCUUUAUUGGAAGUCAUCUUCAAUGUCACCUUCCCUUGUAUUGAAACUUGCAGAACUCUCCAUAAAGAGUUGUUCUCCAUGGAGUUCUUUAUGGUUGGAGAGUAAUACGUUGUUAGCAUAAAUGUGGCAAGUAGCACCAGAUUCAACCCAUCGUGCUCUUAGUUUCCAACAUUGUUAUAUUUAAAAACAACCGCUGACAAGUUCAUUUCUUGCAUCCCGUUAGGUUGUGUUCUUUUUUAUUUUUUUAUUUAUUUUUUAUUUUAAUCAUAUUUGCUAAUGCAUUUUUCUUAGGCUUGCGACAUCCAUUUAAACGAUACCCAAGCUUUCUCACAGUUAUAGCAAUUGCCUUUGAAUUUCUUAACAAUCUUGGUUUCCUUUUGGUGCGUCAUCCAAGAAUUUUCCAUUUUUGUUGAUCUUUGAAUCAGAUUCCACCAAGUUGGCUUUGACUUGCUCAAAUUGAAAAACAGACAUUCUCUCAAUCUUUGUGGUCUUUUUCUAUCCUUAGUCAAACAACAAGUUUUUCUAAGGUCAUCUCUUUACACUUAUGUUUGAGAUAUUUUUUGAAAUCUCUCAAUCUCAAUGAUUGCAGCAACUUGGAAUGACUCACUCAACGUCAUUUUCUCCACAUGAAUGUCAUGGAGAAGAGAAUUACAGUUAUUGCGCUUUACUGAUGAUUGUCUUGAAGUCUAUCAUCUUGUAAUUAAGGAACUUUUCGAUGAUGAAUUUUUUCAUGUGAUGUUCUCCAUUUUAUAUCUUUUCUCCAAAAAAAUCCCAAAGUUCUUUAGUAGAUUUCAGUAAUGAAUAUACUCUUCUAUCUAACGCCAAAAUUGACAAAUAAUUUGAGUAACUAUUCACAUGUUGGGAUACUGCAAUCUUGUUAAUUAAGGUUGUAAAUACGAUAUUCCAUACUUAUUUUGAAUUGAACUAUUUGUACCUUAAAAAUGUACAUCCUUGAAAUCAAAAUCAUUGAUUGCUUUAAGUAUUGUUAAAAUUAAUGAUAAAAACAUGUCUUAUAUCACACAAUGUCAACAAACCUAUCAAGGAAACUGUAAAUUUAGCUAAACUAACUUAUUUCACUAUAGAAAUAAAUGGAAUAGAGAAUCGAUUUCCAUUGCUUAAAAUCUUAAAUACAUUUAACUUUUCCUAUUUCCCAUAUAUCUUAAAAGAGAGAAUCCCAUGCUACUCUUCAUUUGUGUUUUUUCUUCAUGGUUCAUUGUUCAAUUAUAAAAUGUGGUAUGAAAACUUCUACCCUUUAAUUUAUUGUUCAUCUGAAAUUGGCAGCCACCUUUUUUUUUAAUAGAAUCCCCCUAUCUACUUUGACCUUAAAAGAUGCCUAGAUCAAUGUUCUUCUUGAUGCAGAGUUUUCACACUUAACUGGUUCUCCACUGUAGCUAAAUUGGUUCUACAUUUUUCAUCUAAAAAAACAAAUUUAGCGCAUUCAAUUGUUCACAGAGCCAUUUACUAUUGCCGCUUAUUCAAAGAAAAGAGAAGUCUUAGUGAGGACCAAUAUUUUCAGUAGCUUUUGGUUCAUGAAUCCUAACUUCAUCUAUCUUGUUGCGAAAAUCCCUAGAAAAAUCUUGAUUUCGGGCUUAGAAAACAACCAAACGAAUACCACCCGACCAAGGCUCGACCCAAACCAAACCAAAUGAACACUUUUGUUGCCUCAAAUUUCUAGGCUCACGCAGUUAUCCUCUUCUAACCUACAAAGGAUCACGGUGGCGGUGAUUACAACAUCACAAAGGGAGGAAGAAAUGAAAGGGACCAAUAGUUGGAUAUCACUAAAUCACCUCACCAAGACAUGGCUGCCUCUCUCUUAUUUUCUCUCCUCUGUUGUAACUCUCUCACACACGCACCAAGGAAGAUACGGCUAGGAACAAAACAUAUAUAGCAAGACAUUAGGUCACUCAUAUGGAUUGGGCCACAGUUUUCUCUAUAGAUGGGCUGACACUUAAUUACAAAUAAAUGGACCACACAAUCCAAAAACCAUCUAACCCAAACUUGGGUUAUCUAAAAGUAUAGGUUGUUUUCGAGCCAAGCCAAGCCUAUGGUAUCGAUAAGUUUUCCGUGAACUAUUUUAAAUCAUAGCUUAGAUUUAUUGGGUAUCAAAACCCAAAAAAUCUUUACCUUAAUGCCCAUUAAAUCUAUAAGCAAUGAAAACACAAAGUUUAUACUUGUAUAAUCAAGGUAACCAAUAAAAUUGGUAUCACAGACCUUACCUCGUAUUUCUAACAUGAAAUACAUACCAUAUCUGCUCUAUGUACUCACCAGGGCUUAAGAUCAAGAGUACUCGAGCAGAAGCUGAUAUUCAUAGUAAUCAACCAAGAGCAAAUAAACAUGCGAUAACGAUAUAAUAUAGGAUAACACAGAUCUUUUCAAAAAUACGGUCACAUAGAACAACAUAUUAACACCAAGUUAAUCAAACACACGGUCAAAUACACAUGCAACAAAUCUAAUUCUUGCUGAAUAAAGUUACUUCUUAUGAAAUCCACUAUUAGACUCUGCCAGUUCAUGAAUUGUGAUUUUAUUAAUACACUCUUAAUGUAAUUCUUGGCGAACUAGGUAACUACAAAUGUUACAAAAAGCUAUUUAUCAUUUGAAUUUUAUGUUAUAACGGACUGGAAUAUUUCUAUUUUAAUAAUUGUUCGAUCUCAUUUUGUAGAUUAAUUAAUUUUAUUGUAGUACUUGCUGUUUGAAAUUUGACUUUGUGGGUGGUAAUGACUUAUUUAUUUUUACCACUAGCGUAAAAAUUUAUGUUUUAAAAGUGAUUAGCAGUUCUAUGGCUUUAGAUGUCCAUUGUUAAAUAAUAUGUGCCUCUAAAUGUACAUUGUUCAAUGUUAUUACAUCGAGGUUUAAAAAAAUUGACCGAAGGCUUAACUGCGUGGCUCUAUACUACUACAAGUAAGAAAUAAGGUUGAAGUACUAUGGAUAUUAGAGCUAUCUGUUUAAAUGACUCAAAUUAGUGAACUGUGCUUAUCUAUGCUAGCAGGUUAGGUUCAUCAGACUAGGUAGCUUAAGAGCGUGGAAUUGGACCGCCCUCAAUAGAUGAAUAUGGUAUAUAAUGGAAUUGACCCAAAAAUUUCUCUAUUUACAUUUUGCCAGUCUUUGGUAACAGCGUAAAAUCAGAUAGAGUAUGUCCAGCUGUAAUCCUCAACCGAUCUUACCUGAUCUAAUUGUAUUACUGACUAUAAUUGAUUUCUUGUGUGUAAUAGUAUUCUAUAUGGCCUCACUGGUAAGUGGUUACCUAUACCCUGCUUCCAUUCCUCCUUUUUAUAAGAAAGCCAAAUGUUAGAAGAACUCGGUCAUUCUAGCAGCGACAAGAAGACUAUAAAAAUGACCAAGAUCAAGAUACUAUGGUCCAGUCUUCGUCACAUGCUGUCGUUUCUAGGACCGACUGACGCCUCACCUGCAUUGGUACCUAGUGUAGUGGUUGCACAUUCAACGUAGUGUUUGGACUCACGUGCCUUCUAGGACCGAGAUCUCUGAGUGUGCUGCAUAUGAUUUGCCAGCUUUGUGGCAACAAAAAGAUUAGAUGUCCCCCCAUGCUAUGACCAUUUGUAAUUUCAUCUCUUUCACCCCAUGUCCUAUGUCCCACCAUAGUAUAUCUCUACACCUUGACACCUUUUACCAAUUAGAUUCCUUACACGUGUAGACUUUAAUCAUCAUGAAAAUUCAGCGUGGCCAUUGUUUCAUUUAUUUAGGUUGAGGAUGCAUUUUACUGUUUCUCUGUUGCUAUAGAGCUUUUCAUUGGAGAAAGGGACUGGAAAGAAGUGCUUUAUGCUGGCUUCAAGGAACCUCAUUAUAUGGGAUUGUCCACCCCGUUGGCAAUGUAUCUCUUUUCCCAACUCCAGGUUCUAUAUUUAUCCUUCAUAAGAAUAACAAGUAUCUCUUUUUUUCCCUAUUAAUUAUCUCGCUUGAUAUUUUGUUGAGUGUCUGAUUCAGAUUUCCAGAGGUCGCAGUGCGUCUUGUUGGGUACUUGUUUACAAUUUGUGGCAAGAUAAAUACCUCCAUGCUUUCUUCAGGAACUAAAUAUGCAGCUUACCUCGUGUUCACUUUGAGAUAAGGAAUUAAUGGAUAUGGGCACCAGCUUGUUCAGGCUUUGAUAGAAAUUAGUGGACAAAACGCUGAUGAACAAACUAACUAUUUACAAAUUGGACAAGAAGCUGAUGGUACAACUGUCUAUUGUCCAGAUGAAGAACAGAGGCAAAGGUGCCAGACUGUUCCUAGACCCAAAACUUUCUUGCAUUUAAUCUCUCAUGUAUUUUGACGGCUAGACAUCAUAGAGCCCUCAGAGUUGCACAGAUAUCCUAAGUUCAGGGAUGAUGGAUGGAUGGAAGUUGAGAUGGGAGAGUUCUUCGUCGAGGGGAAACAAGAUCAGGAUGUGAAAAUUAUAUCUGUGCCAUGGAAUCCAGGACUGUGGUGUAAUUGUUGGCAUGGUGGUCAUCUUAUUAUUCAAGGUAUUGAUAUCAGACCAAGAGCUUGGUGAAUAUUUGAUUUACUAUUUUCAUC